GUUAGUGAGAACUGACAUGUUGGACAAAAUUGACCUCAAGCAAAGAUGAUGUUUGCAAUUUGCCCAACAGAGUUCUUUUAGCUUCAUUUUUUGAGUUUCUAUCUGUUUACUUGUUAAAUCAUCUAUUUCUCUCGUCCUUUUUGCACGUCUUUUAACAAUACCAUUAUCUGUUUACUUGUUAAAUCAUCUAUUUCUCUCGUCCUUUUUGCACGUCUUUUAACAAUACCAUUAGGCGCUACAAGAUGCACUGAAUAGUUUGGAAGGAGUGACAUGCAAUAGAGCAGAAGGGGCUAUGUAUCUCUUUCCGCGUAUUAACUUACCCGACAAAGCAAUAAAAGCAGCAGAAGAAGCUAAAACUGCACCAGACGCUUUCUAUGCUAAACUUCUUCUUAAUGCCACAGGAAUCGUUGUUGUUCCAGGCUCUGGAUUCCGCCAGGUAAUACUUACAUUUAUAGCUCUCGCGUAAAUGUAAUUGUCGCCUACCCAUUUCAACAAAUUUAAAUCACUCUUUCACUUAUAUAGAAAAAUAUUGUUGGAGAAGAAGUAGGCAUUUUUAAUUAUCUCUUACACGUUAGUCUCUCUAUCAGCACUAUGGUUCUUGCUUUGGUGUAGGUUCCUGGAACCUGGCAUUUUAGGUGCACAAUAUUACCACAAGAAGAGAAGAUACCAGCUAUCGUAUCUCGUCUUACAGAAUUCCAUAAAAAGUUCAUGGAUGAAUUCUGCGGCUAAGGAAUCAGACAGUACGGAGUCUGAUAAUAGGGAAUUUUGAAUAAGCAGUGCCAGUUGACUCCUGUCUGCAACUGUUUUGUCUGCCUACUUCUAUAGUCGAACAGUAAGGACUCUAAUGGUUCCAAAUUUUGGGGUUUGUUCCUCAUUUUCUGGUUGGGAUUGAUGCUUUAGUUCAUUCUGUUAAUUUAUCCCAGCUUCAGACAUUCAGUGGAUAUAUAAAUAUGAUUUGUGCAACACAGGGUGCAUGUAUAUGCAAAGAAGCAUUUGUUUCUCAGACAUCACUACUUCACUUUCUACACUACUUAGAUUAUGUAUUUGUUUCUACGCAUAUCUAUAAUCUAUCUAUCUAUAUAAUAUAUUAAAAGUGUGAAACCCCUUAGAAAAGUGAUUCGAACUUUUUAACCUUCAUUAAAAUACUCUGCAAUAGACAAAAUCAUCUUUUUGCCCGUUUUCAAUAAUUAAUUAACUAUUUUUAUAAUAUUUAGAAUUAAAGAGUCUAAAAUAUAUGUUAAGAGAAGUUAUAUGGCAAGAGAUAUUAGGAGAAUUAAUAAUUAAGGAAUGGUAAGUUAUAUGGUAAUUUGAAAUCAAUUAAAUAUUUUUUAUUUAGUCCUUUGAUUUUGGACAUUGCACAAUUGACUUUUUAAAUCAUUACAUUAUUAUUGAAAAUAAGUUAAAAAAAAUAAACAAAAGAGGAAAUUAAGGACAAAGAGACAAGAGAGUUUUUUUUUUCUUUUUUUCAUUAUGGUAUGAAUUGCAGUGAAAAAUUCCUUAUAUUUAAUAAAUAAUGAAGUUUUAUGUUUUCAUUAUCAGUUUUUCUAAUAUAUAGUUGAAGAUAUAAAUAGGUAACUAUUUCUUAUCCAAGUAUUACAAUUUUUUUUUAUAUAAUCUGAAAAUUUACAUGGCAUGAACACUACAUAUUUUUAGUGAAAUUAUGUAUUGGGUAUUGAUGAGUGGAAGGAGAAUAUUCUUUCUUCUAUUUAAGAUAAUAAUAUUAGAUAGGAAAUAUUUUUUGAAGUAAAAAAAAGUAAGUGGAUAUUUAUUUUUUUUCUCAAAAGUGCUCAUUUUUAAAAAAUAAAGUAUUUGGCCAAGCUUUGCAAGAAAAUAAAUGUUUGGAGGGUAUAAAAGAUAAUUUUUCAUUUGCUAAAAAUGUAGUUUCUCCUUAAAAGCUCUUAUUUGAAAAGCAUUUCUGAUCAAAAUACAUUUAAAAAUACUUUUCAAAGGCUUGAUCAAACACUAAUUGUUGUUCGAAAGUGUCAAAUACAAACUGUUUCUUAUUAAAAGUACUUUUUUGAAAAACACUUUUCAAAAUAAGCUAAUUUUAAAAGUUUGAUCACGGACUAAAGAGGAUGAAUACUUUCUUCUAUUUUUUUUUUUUUCAGUUUGAUAUAAAUAAUAAUUGAUAUUGUAAUAUUAAUACACGAUGGAGAACAACUUUAUUAGCUAAAUGAUAGAACAAAUUAGGACAACACGUUUAGCCGACAAGGAAGGAACUUGUGGGAUACACAAGAUUAUAUGGUACCUCAUAAAAUAAAAUAAAUUUUAUCACAAGUAUAAGUUAUGUAUCUCACGUUCCUUUAUAAUACACCUUUAAUCCCAAGGAUUUUACUUAUUUUUAAUAAUAAUUUAUACUUAUUACUAUUAUAACAUACUCAUAAUAAUUUUUUAUUUUUAUACAAAAUAUUCAUAAUUAACGUUAUACACACGUACAAAACACGUGGACUUGAUCGGCAACGAGCGUAAUUAGUGAUUCCGUGACAGAGUGGCCACUGAAAUUUGCAGUAGAUCCAGAGCACAACUUUUUAAAUCGAAACAUUUGGGCAUGAACGUUUUGUCCUUUUGGUCUAAUUCAAAUUUCAGUUGCCGUUUUGACAUUUUUGAUUCAAAAAGUUGCCCUUUAAUUAGGCAUUGGACUCAAUUAACCUUACCCAUGUACAAUUCAUUAAUGUUUCUCCAUUAAUCUUAAUGGUGCGCCAUCUUUCUCAUAUGUGACUUGAAGGUAAGGGUAUCAAGUGGGCCGGGUCGGAACUAACCCGAUCCAGUAAGCUUUAGGAUUUUAGGAUUUCGGGUUCCGAAUCGGUUAUUUUUUUAAAAUGGCCCCAGCUAACCCGGCCCGGAUCAAGCCCGGUCUAGGCCCACCGGUUAACCGACCCGGCUCGAAUACCUUUGUUUUAAAAAAAAAUAAAAAAAUUGAGAUUUUGGGCCAAACUAGCCAUUGGCCCAAUGACUAUAUAGCCCUUUUUGGGUCCAAACGGCUAGUUUGGGCCCAUUUAUUACAAAAAAAAAUUACCUUUAAAAAAUAUUUUUUAAUCCCCAAAAAAAUUCUAUAAAUACCCUACAACUUCAAAUCAUUUUUCACACAAUUUUCACUCUCUCAAAUCUCAUUCUCUCUCAAAUCUCAAUUCUCAAUUCUCAAAUAUUCAAUGUAUUUAAUUUCUUAAAGUGUUCACUUUAAUUUUUUAAUUUUUUGUUUACAAAGUACGAGCGGAAGUUUCUAAAGUCACAACCUUCGGAUACUUCCAAAAUUUGGUAUUGUCGUUCCAUUUCUUACGUUUAGUUUUUAUUUAUUGUAUUAAUUGUUUAAUAUUUAAUUUUAUUNNNNNNNNNNNNNNNNNNNNNNNNNNNNNNNNNNNNNNNNNNNNNNNNNNNNNNNNNNNNNNNNNNNNNNNNNNNNNNNNNNNNNNNNNNNNNNNNNNNNNNNNNNNNNNNNNNNNNNNNNNNNNNNNNNNNNNNNNNNNNNNNNNNNNNNNNNNNNNNNNNNNNNNNNNNNNNNNNNNNNNNNNNNNNNNNNNNNNNNNNNNNNNNNNNNNNNNNNNNNNNNNNNNNNNNNNNNNNNNNNNNNNNNNNNNNNNNNNNNNNNNNNNNNNNNNNNNNNNNNNNNNNNNNNNNNNNNNNNNNNNNNNNNNNNNNNNNNNNNNNNNNNNNNNNNNNNNNNNNNNNNNNNNNNNNNNNNNNNNNNNNNNNNNNNNNNNNNNNNNNNNNNNNNNNNNNNNNNNNNNNNNNNNNNNNNNNNNNNNNNNNNNNNNNNNNNNNNNNNNNNNNNNNNNNNNNNNNNNNNNNNNNNNNNNNNNNNNNNNNNNNNNNNNNNNNNNNNNNNNNNNNNNNNNNNNNNNNNNNNNNNNNNNNNNNNNNNNNNNNNNNNNNNNNNNNNNNNNNNNNNNNNNNNNNNNNNNNNNNNNNNNNNNNNNNNNNNNNNNNNNNNNNNNNNNNNNNNNNNNNNNNNNNNNNNNNNNNNNNNNNNNNNNNNNNNNNNNNNNNNNNNNNNNNNNNNNNNNNNNNNNNNNNNNNNNNNNNNNNNNNNNNNNNNNNNNNNNNNNNNNNNNNNNNNNNNNNNNNNNNNNNNNNNNNNNNACUAAAGUGGCACAUAUUAUUAUAUUUCAUGCAUGGAUUUAGCAUAGCACCAACCAAGUAAAUAGGAGGAAUUGGGAAAAAAUAUUUUUUAAAUUUCGUAAACAUGGCGCCAACAGCUUCUUUAUAAUCUUCUUUAUUUUUAUAUUCUUUGAGCAAACCAGAAAUAUCGGCUAUAUAUGCCAAAAUAUUACAAACAGUAGGAUAAUAAGCACCGAAAAAUUCAACCGUAGCUACAUAAAAUUUUUCUAAAAACUUAACAAGAUUAUUAAUUACAACCCAAUCAGAAUUAUGUAGCAUGCAAUCAGCAGAAUCAGCAAAUGAACCGCAAUGUUGGUUAAAAGCUAGUGUAAUAGGAAUUCUAUAUUUAUAACAAGUUUUUAAAAAUUCAUACGUAGAAUUCCAUCUAGUAUCAAUUUCCUCAGGCAUCAAAAUCGGUGUAAGUCCAUUUUCUUGACAUUUAACUUUAAAUUCUCUAAUUCUCGAUCUACGAUUAUUUCCUUGAAUAAAACCAACAGCAAGGAAAUAAUCGUAGAUUGAGAAUUAGAGAAUUUAAAGUUAAAUGUCAAGAAAAUGGACUUACACCGAUUUUGAUGCCUGAGGAAAUUGAUACUAGAUGGAAUUCUACGUAUGAAUUUUUAAAAACUUGUUAUAAAUAUAGAAUUCCUAUUACACUAGCUUUUAACCAACAUUGCGGUUCAUUUGCUGAUUCUGCUGAUUGCAUGCUACAUAAUUCUGAUUGGGUUGUAAUUAAUGAUCUUGUUAAGUUUUUAGAAAAAUUUUAUGUAGCUACGGUUGAAUUUUUCGAUGCUUAUUAUCCUACUGUUUGUAAUAUUUUGGCAUAUAUAGCCGAUAUUUCUGGUUUGUGCAAAGAAUAUAAAAAUAAAGAAGGUUAUAAAGAAGCUGUUUGCGCCAUGUUUACGAAAUUUAAAAAAUAUUUUUUUUCCGAUUCCCCCAAUUUACUUGAUUGGUGCUAUGCUAAAUCCGUGCAUGAAAUAUAAUAAUAUGUGCCACUUUAGUACUCUUAUUUAUACUAACUUAGAAAUAAAUACUAACCAUGAUUCUGAACAAGUACAACCUGAUUUGUGGACGGCUACGGCUGAUGCAAAGGAUUACAUAGAAAAAUUAUAUAAUCACUAUGCUAAUUUAUUUGAUUUAGCCGUACCUACAAAUAUCACUCCAACUGUCGCUCCUCAUCCUCCCGAGGAGCCAUCAUCNNNNNNNNNNNNNNNNNNNNNNNNNNNNNNNNNNNNNNNNNNNNNNNNNNNNNNNNNNNNNNNNNNNNNNNNNNNNNNNNNNNNNNNNNNNNNNNNNNNNNNNNNNNNNNNNNNNNNNNNNNNNNNNNNNNNNNNNNNNNNNNNNNNNNNNNNNNNNNNNNNNNNNNNNNNNNNNNNNNNNNNNNNNNNNNNNNNNNNNNNNNNNNNNNNNNNNNNNNNNNNNNNNNNNNNNNNNNNNNNNNNNNNNNNNNNNNNNNNNNNNNNNNNNNNNNNNNNNNNNNNNNNNNNNNNNNNNNNNNNNNNNNNNNNNNNNNNNNNNNNNNNNNNNNNNNNNNNNNNNNNNNNNNNNNNNNNNNNNNNNNNNNNNNNNNNNNNNNNNNNNNNNNNNNNNNNNNNNNNNNNNNNNNNNNNNNNNNNNNNNNNNNNNNNNNNNNNNNNNNNNNNNNNNNNNNNNNNNNNNNNNNNNNNNNNNNNNNNNNNNNNNNNNNNNNNNNNNNNNNNNNNNNNNNNNNNNNNNNNNNNNNNNNNNNNNNNNNNNNNNNNNNNNNNNNNNNNNNNNNNNNNNNNNNNNNNNNNNNNNNNNNNNNNNNNNNNNNNNNNNNNNNNNNNNNNNNNNNNNNNNNNNNNNNNNNNNNNNNNNNNNNNNNNNNNNNNNNNNNNNNNNNNNNNNNNNNNNNNNNNNNNNNNNNNNNNNNNNNNNNNNNNNNNNNNNNNNNNNNNNNNNNNNNNNNNNNNNNNNNNNNNNNNNNNNNNNNNNNNNNNNNNNNNNNNNNNNNNNNNNNNNNNNNNNNNNNNNNNNNNNNNNNNNNNNNNNNNNNNNNNNNNNNNNNNNNNNNNNNNNNNNNNNNNNNNNNNNNNNNNNNNNNNNNNNNNNNNNNNNNNNNNNNNNNNNNNNNNNNNNNNNNNNNNNNNNNNNNNNNNNNNNNNNNNNNNNNNNNNNNNNNNNNNNNNNNNNNNNNNNNNNNNNNNNNNNNNNNNNNNNNNNNNNNNNNNNNNNNNNNNNNNNNNNNNNNNNNNNNNNNNNNNNNNNNNNNNNUAUUUUAAAUUCUAAUGUAGUAUAUACUAUAUAUAUAUAGUGUAUAUAUAUUAUUUAACGUAUUUAUAAUGUAUAUAGGUGGGGUAUAUGUAAUGUAUAUUGAAAGAAAGUUUUUUUUCUUAUAUUUUUGACCGGGUUUGACCGAUUUUUUAACCGGGUUUGAUCGGUUUUUGGUGGGUUUGACCGGGUUGGGUUAAGUGGGCCGGGUUAGGGUGCGUUUUAUUUUUUUUACUAUUUGGCCCGGCCCGUCUAGCGCCAAAACCGACCUUUAAUCGACCCUCAACCCGGUUAAAAUAGAAGGGCUGAUUCUGGAUUGGCUCGGCCCGGCCCGUUUGACACCCAUACUUAUCUAGGAGUAGCAUAUCAAUUGUGUUAUGGAGACGCCCACAAGCGAAGUAAUUAAACAGAAAAAUAAUGUCAUCCGAUGACCAGUUGAUCAAUCAUCACCCACAUCAAACUGUUCUAGGAAAAUUACGUGUUAUAGCAAAUAUAUACUAUGUAAGUAUACACAAUUAUAGUUUAAAUAAUUACCCACGUAGUUACGAAUUUAAGAUAUGCUUUCUUUAUUAUAUGAGUAUAUAUCUGUCAAACUAUGAUGAUCGAUAUAUCGAACCGUAAAAUAUCGAAAUUGAACUUUAAAAUAUUAUACACAACCUAAUUAAUUUCGUAUGAUAAUGAUAUAAAAUUUUUAAAUAGAAGAAUUACGCUCUAUAUCUAUUUUUGAAAAUAUUUACGCCAUAUAGCUGGUACUUUAUGUAUGAACACCCCAUUUAACCAAUAUUUGUGCAUAAACAACUUUUAUACAGUAUUAUACAAGGGAAUUAAUUGCUUGUACUUUCUUCUGAAUAUUUCUGCAUGUGUAAGAUAUUAAUAUGAUAUAAACAAGCUGUUUCUUGAAAAAUCGAAGUCAUAAUUCAUUAUUAUAUACUAUAUGUAGGUUGAAGUCAGCCAAACAAUGAUUAUCGAUUAACCGUACCACACAUCACGAAAAACUUUAAAAUAGAAACCAACCUAAUUAAUUUGGUAUGAUAGUGACAUAAUAUUUUUAAAAGGAAAUUACGCUCUAUCAAGUUUUGAAAUUAUUUACGCUAACUAGCUAAGUAGCAUACUUUAUGUAUAAAUACACUAUUUAAACCAUAUUUGUGUAAUACACAACUUUUAUGCCCAAUUAUACGCUUCAAUUAUACAAGAUUGAUAAUUAUAUAUAACUAGUCAAGUGUACGUGUUUUGCACGUGUGUAUAACGUUAAUUAAUAAUAUAGAUAUAUUAAAAAAUAAAUUAUUAUAUGUACGUUAUAUUAUUAAGUACAAAACACUGAAAAAAUAACAUUAAAUUUCAUUACAAAUGUACUACUACAUGGCAGAACAAUACAAAUCAAUAACAAUUUUCUUAAACAAUAGAUCAUAUCAUGACAGAAAAAAAUCAGCCAUAUUAAAACAAUGAAACAACACAAAUAGUACUAUUGCAAAUAAAUUAACAACCUUGGUCUCACCUGAAAAAUCUCACAUCAGUUAAACUCAAAUUUUCUUGACAUUAAAAUUCAAGUUUUAAAAAAAAUUAGAUGAAAGUACAUAAAAAGAAAUUCAGAAUAACUGAGUCAUUGACAUAAAUAAAAUUAAUAAUUAAAAGGAGAACUACCAAAUUUUAUAUUGCGGUUUGAAAGCCAAUUCCGAAAUAAAAUAUAGAGUAUCUUAAGUGGAAGGGGGCUUGUCCUGGUGCAAGCAAUUUUUUUCCAGCUAAAUCGUUCAUCAACAUCAUCCUUGUUUUAUUCAAUUAUCGAGAAAAAAUAUCAAUUGAAGGAGAUUCAUGAGAAAUUAUCUAAAGAAGAGUAUUUAUUGUUCAAAUUUUACCUGAAAAAAUACAAAAAAAUUAUUAAAAAGGGAGAAUUCAUUAUUAAUUAUUAAUUAUGUACGAUUCAUAUAUAAUUAUACAAGCUAUUAGCCACAAGAAAUAAAGGAAAGGUAGAAAAAACGAUGAUCAUGAAAGCAAAAAGAUGACUCAAAUCAAAAUUAAAAUUUUAAAAAUAUAGUAAAAGUAGAAGAUGUCAUAUAUAUGUUGAAAUUCUACUUUCAAAUACAUACAUACAAAUCCUAAAUUUGCACGUUAAUAGUUAUUUAUCAAAAUACUUCUUGUUCUUAACAAAUUCUACAAAUCCUAGGCUACUACCAUACAUUUAAUCUGUCUAAAAAAUGAAAUUUUUUAUUUUCCAAAAAUAGGUCAGUUUGAGCUUUUAUUGAAAUUAUUGUUAUUUAAAUAAUAAGUUUAUUAUAUCUCAUAAUAGUUAAGAAUCUUCUUUUAAUUAUUUCCCUAUAAUUAAGAAAUCUAAAUCCUUCGUGACCUUUUUACCUAAAAAUUUCUAUCAAAUUAUUUUCAUAAAAUUUUUUUUAAAAAAAAUUUAAAUAACCUGUAAUAGCAAGUCAAGAUUACCUGAGCGUACACUGAUGAUGAUGCACAAAACUUAAAUUCUUUGAAAAUUCCACUUUUUAAAACUUAGAAAACCAAAAUUAUCGAUUCAGUGCCAUACCGUAACUACAUCGAAUACACUAUAGUACAGCAAGUGAUAUUGUAGGUGCAAAUAUAAUAAUAAAUACCAUGAGAAUAUGAGAGUCCCAAACUUAGGGGAUUCCUCUUCUUCUCUCUCUAUAUAAUAUAGCGUGCAAUAUCCUCUACAGUCACGCUCAUCUCCUUUGUGCCAUAGCAAAAAAUAGGAAGUAUGAACGAAGGGAAGGAAAUUGACAGAAGCUGGCAAGUGGAAAAACUGCUUUUGAUCCAUAUCCAGAGGCGUAGCCAUGUGUAGUGAAGCGUGGUUAGUCGAACAUCUUUGUUACAAAAUUAAUUUCUGAUUAUGCCAAUGUCCGUAUCUGAUACAAAUAUUAUAGCCUUUUGAUUUUUCGUUACUGUGUUGAAUAUAUGGAUUCUUUGUUUUUUUUGUUAACAGAAAAAUAUUUGAAAAAAAAUAAAUCAUAUUGUAAUAUAUUUGCUAUGGUUGAUUGCAGCUUAACAAGAAGUGGAAACGAUCAUUACAAAGGAAAGAGAGGAGAAUGCAAAUAAUAAUGGUAAUAUUGGGUGUAACAAGCUAUGUGCUCAUGUUAUGAGCUGUAUUUUUGUAAGAUGCGCGGUGAAUACGUUAUCCAUGAUAAAGUGUGCAUCACAGUCUUGGAAUGACUAUAUUACGACUCCUUUAUUUGUUCAUUCUCACCUGAGACAUUCAACAAAAACACCCAAGUUCUUUUUGUGAAAUUCAUUCCUCUGAAACAGAGAAGGCCACGGUACAUAAAAAGGGGCAGGCUGCAAUUUAUUUCAGUAGACAUGCAAGGAAAGGGAGAAAUCAAUGAGUUAUACAGCAUCACCCUCCAGUAUGAUUGUCUCCUAUGGUUUACUUUGCAUUUCAUCGACUCGCGGUCGAAUUUAUUUAUGCAAUCCUGUUAUGAAGCAAUUUUGUAAAUUACCCAAAUGUUCACCUAAUGAGUUAGUAGAAUACAUACCUUCAGGCUUCAACUACCGGGUUUGGAUAUCAUCAUUCAACAAAGGAAUACGAAGUGGUCAACUUUUUCUACACCUGUGCUCCAGGGCAUAUUCCUUAUUUUGUGCUUCAUAAAUCUUUUCAGUUGAGACGCGAGGUGUUCACAUUUACUAGCCUAACAAAUGGGCAGGUUUGGAAAGAAAUUGCUGGGACGCCUCCCUGUCACCCGUAUGGUCGAGGGUUGCUAGUGAAGGAAUGCAUGUAUUGGCUGGCUAAACCGAAUUUUGAAGACAAACCUGAUCGAUUUAUCAUUAGAGUUUGAAAAUGGAAAGUUCCUAACUAUAUUGCCUUCGUCCGUAAUGAAAGUUUCCUCCCGGAGUCUGAUGAAAUUGAAAGGGAUGCUUUGUGUGCACCGGUGAAGAAAUAAAUCAUAAAUUUUGUCAAUUAUGAUCCCAGGUAUAUUAUGCCCAUCUUCGCGGCAUGGAAUGAAGGAAUAAUCUAUAAUCUAUAUAAUAUAUUAAAAGCUUAAAGAACAAGUGAUUUGAACUUUUUGCCCUUUAUUAAAAGAUCGCCCUUCAAAUAAAACUGUCUUUUCAUUAUUUUCUUUAAUUUAUUAUUUAAUUAGUUUUAUUAUAUUGAUUACUCCUAAAAUAUAUGGGACUCCUAAAAUAUAUGGAAGGAAAAUUAAUUAAUAUUUUUCUUUGUACCGAUCAAUUAAAAAAAUAUUCCUAAAAUAAAAUUCUAUUAAGAAAAUACUUUUAUGAAUAUUCAGAUGAACGUUAAACUAUUACACUAUCAAACUUAAUAAAACAAAGGACGGAGAAGAGGUGUAUGCAAGGACGAAUUUUUUCAGGUGCAUGCAACCAAUAAAUCUAUUAUUCAGGUGUAUGCAAGGACGACACUAUCAAACUUAUGCAGCCAAUAAAUCUAUUAUUCUCAGGUGUAUGCAGCCAAUAAAUCUAUUAUUAAACUAUUACACUAUCAACUCAUGCAACCAAUAAAUCAAUCCACACUCUAAAGGACGGAAAAUAGGCUAUUGCAUGAAAAGUUUUUAUUUACAACUUAAUAAAACAAAGGACGUAUAUUUCAAACUCAUGUAUUUAAAAGAAUGUGACAUAUUCAUCUAACUUGAUUCGGUUGCAUGUCUAGAUUGGUAGAUGCUUAAUUUUUAAUCCUCAACUUCUUUACUAUUUUUGUCAAUAUAAUAGAAUUCAACGUGUGUAUAUAUAUAUCUUCUCUAUUUUCAUUCAAGUCAUUCUUUUAGGGUUAAAAUUUUUGCUCAGACAAGAAUUAUUUUUAUCAAAAUCGGAGCUUUGAUCACUAUUAUAUUAUUUUGUUGUAGUUUACAGGUCGUAGAUGAAUGUCGAUCGACUUUAAGAAACUUUUUUUGUAAAGGUUAGGUUUAAUUGUAUUGUCUUAAUAUCUCUAUUAGUUUAUUAUUUUGAGGAAUUUUUUGUGUAAUUGUUAGGUUUAAUUGUAUUGUCUUAAUAUCUCUAUUAAUUUAUUAUUUUGUGGUAGUUUAUAAGUUGUAGAUGAAUGUCCAUCGGCUUGGGGGAAUUUUUGUGUGUAAAAUUUAAGAAUAAUUGUAUUGUUUUGAUAUCUCUUUUAUCGUAUUAUUUUGUUGUAGUUUACAGGUGCUAGAUAAAUGUCGAUCGCCUUUAAAGAAUUCUUUUAGGUAAAGGUUAGAUUUGAUUGUAUUGUUUUGAUAUCUCUGCUUUGAGAGUUUUUUUGUGUAAAAGUUAGAUUUAGUUGUAUUAUUUUGAUAUCUCUAUUAUCGUAUUAUUUUAUUAGAGUUUGCAGGUAUUAAAUGAGUAUGGGAAGGCCUUGAGAAAAUUUUUGUAUAAAGGUUGGAUUUAAUUGUAUUAUUUUAUUGUCUCUAUCAUCGUAUUAUUUUGUUGUAGUUUACAUGUGAUAGAUUUUUUUUGCUAAAGGUUAGGUUUAAUUAAGAACUCGUUUGGCCAUGAAAUUUUUUUCCGUUUUUCCUUUUUUCGAGAAAUUUUUUCGAAGUUGAAAAUUGUGGUGUUUGGCUAUAAAAAUUCGAAAAAUAAUUUUGAAAUUUUUUUCUAAAAAAGGAAAACAAGUUUUUGGUGUUUUCACAAUUUUUCAACUCCAAUUUCAACUUUUAUUAUUAUUAAAUAUAACCCCAAUCUUUUAAAUUUUUACAUAAAACUCUCAUAACAGUACUUUUUCAAUAUUACGUAUAUAGCAAUUUUAAAGAAUAAGAUAAUUAUAAUUUCAAACUUAAUGCUAUCCUAAUUAAUAUAUAUCUCUUUUUCUCUCUCAUCAUUGUUUUUCUCCCUUAUUAGGACAUUAUUUUACUGCUAAUGAUCCUAAUUACUAUAAUAAUAAUAAUAAUAAUAAUAAUAAUAAUAAUAAUAAUUUUUCUGUUAUGAUACGGAUGUUUAAGGAAUUAUAGUCGUGUAAUUAAUAAUGGAUAAUCGUUUUCUAUAUUUAUGGAAUUAAUAAAGUUGUAGCAGAUUAGUUUACCACUGCCACAAAUUAUUCUCAUUUUUAAUUUGAUUAUUUAUAUUAUAUUGUGUACAUCUUUAUUAUACUAUUCGAAUAUAAAUAGUUUAUACCAUAUAUAUGCUAAGAAUAUAAACCAGUGAUACAUAUUUUUCAUUAAAAAAUAUGUCCAAUUUAACAAAUUUAUACCUUAAACUGCAACUGCUACCUUUAUAUACCAUAAUACUUGGUAUCUUUAUACACAAAGUAUUAUAUUUAUACCCAUAAAUAUAUAAAGUAUUAUAUUUAUAACAGAAAUAUACAAAGUAUGUUAUAUAUAAAGUUUAUACCAUGUAUACACCAUAUACACGCAUAUAUAAAUAUACAAAAUAUUUAAGAAACAUACUAAGCAUAUUUAUAACAUAAAUGUACAAAGUAUGUUAUAUAUGAAGUUUAUACCAUGUAUAUACCAUAUACACACAUAUAUAAAUAUACAAAGUAUAAAGAAACAUACUAAGCAUAUUUAUAUAUUUAUGGUAUAUGAUAUAAUAUACCAUAAAUAUGCAAAGUAUGUUUUACAUAGAAAUAAUUUAUUCACACACAGUAAAAUCUUUGAUGUAUAAGAAAAUUACAGAAAUAAAUUAGAGGCACCCUUAAAUUUAAUAACAACUCAUCGUUUCCUAUUUUUAAGAACGAAAAAUAAAGGAAAUAAAUUAAAAAUUAAAUAAAUUCCUAAAAAAAUAAAUUUAUUUGAAAGAUAAUAUUUGUUACCUAAAAAAUAGGAAACAGUGAUCUGUUAAUAUAACAUCCAUAUUUAAAAAUUUCAAUUAUGAGAAAACGGCUAUAAAUAUUAUAUAUGUCAUAAUUGAAAUUCAUUAAAUAUGACCAUGUAUAUGUAUUUAUUUUUAUACAAGUGGCUAAUUGUGUUCUUUUUUCGUUAGUAGGUAAAUUUUAGUUAGGUGAUUUUGAUAGUUUGUAAAAGUUGGGGCAUAAAAUCAUAUUAAUUUUUUUUUUUUCAAAAGUAAAAAAAAAAAUUCAAAAAAGACAUGGCCAAACACAACUCCAACUCCAAUUUCAACUCCAACUCCGAAAAAUUUUAGUUUUCAUGGCCAAACGGCUACUAAAUAAAUUUUUCAUCUUUAUAUAUUCAAAAGAUGAUGAAUUUAAUUAUUGUAUUUGUCUUUAUUAUUUAAAUAAUUUUUUUAUUUAGUGCAAUGUUUGAACUCAUAAAAGUGAAGUACACAUGCAAGACGCGUACAAGUAAACAAGAGGGGGCUUUGGGCUGUAGGUGAUAAAAGAGUUUUAAAAUGAGGUGUAGGUGACACAAGUCUUAAUAAUUGAGUGAAUGUGACAAUUACUUUAUUAUGGAUUAAGAAAGUUUAGUAAGUUUGAGAAUAACCCACAAUUUUCUAAAUUUACACUUUGAUCCAAAUGUUUACCUAAUACAAUAGGAAACGGAGGAAAAAAAGCGCCUUUCUCUCUCUUCUAGUCCAUUGUUGUUUUCUCUCUCUUAGCGAUUUUUAUUGUUCAUUGUUGCUGCUGCUUUAUUCACCAUUUUCUGCUUCAUUAUCAUCAUCUUCUACUUCAUUAUCAUCUUCAUCUUUUUCUUGUUGACCAUUGUUGUUGUCAUUGUUGUUACCGCUACUGUUGCUAUUUGACCAAUUUAUUAGGUCAAAUCUUGUUUCGUACAUCACUUUCCACUUUGACAUUACUUCAUAGGAGACUUUAGUAAGUCAAAUUAUGAUUUUUAGUUGAAUUUUUCAUCUGGGUAACUGCUAUUGUGCUAUUUUUCCAACAAUGGAUAGAACCCGAUCAUGAAUCCAACAUAAGAGCCAUCUGUUUAAAUAGAUAAAUCAUCUAUUGCGACAGAUGAGAUAUCUAUUUCAACGAAAGGUUGAUAUGUUGGAUUUAUGUUUAUGGUUCCAUAUGCCGUAACAUGAAUCAAACAGAUCUGGUGCAACGUGGUAAAUAUCUGUUGCAACAUAUUAUUAACCUGUUGCACCAGAACCUGAACUCGAUUCCAACAGACAUGUUGUUUGUUGCAAUAGGGUAUAUAUCUAUUGCAACAGAUUAUGAACCUAUUGCAAUAGAACAAAAACUCGAUUCCAACAGACGAUAACUAUCUGUUGCAACAUAUUAGUAACCUGUUGCAAUAGAACCUGACCUUGAUUCCAGCAGAUCAUCAUAUAUUGCAGCAGGUAAGUCAUCUGUCCAACAUGUUAAUUAUCUGUUGCAACAUGUCACUCAUCUAUUAGAAUCAACUUCAAAGGUGCCUUAGUACUGUAACAUCAAUCCCAACAGAUAUAUAGUCUGUUGCAACAUAUGAUUCACCUGUUACAACAGAUGACUCAUCUGUUAAAAUAAGCUUUAAGAGCGUACAUGAAUCCCAACAGGUAAGUAAUCUAUUGCGACUGAUUAUACAUUUGUUGGGAUUAAUUUACAGCACUAUGAAAUCACUAUUAACUUUUUUUAACAAAUGACUUUAUUUAGGUACCACUAACGGAGGGAUCAAUAAUAAUAGGGGUGGAUUGUCCUGGUUAAUGGAUCAAGAAGAGCAAUCAAUAGGUAUGGCAUUGGAACGAGGGUGAAAUGCUAGAGACGAUAGCUAUGACAGUCCAAAGUGAUGUUUCGUAUGAUGAUUUUGUAAACUUAAUCAUUAGUUAUUGUGGACUGAAUUUUCAAUCAGAAGAACUCGUCAUCAGCUACAUGCACAACUCCUUUGAAAAUUAAAAGGUACUGCCUUUCAAGAUAACCGAUCAGGUACGGUUGCGUGCUUAUCUUAGUGAUUCAUCCAGGCCUGUGUUAAGGGUGUACGUGAUUGAAAAGAUGAGAGAGAAUGAGAACCAGAACAUAGAAGAAGAAAAACAACAAAACAUCUUUGAUGAUAGGUUGGAUGAUCUAGACAUGAAUAUUCUAGAUGAUGAUCAAACACCUACGCCUGUUGAUGUGACCAAUUCGAUGUGCAGUUCUUCUCAAUCGACAUAGUCUGGAAAUCUUCAAUAUGAUGGGAUCAACUUUUUUUAUUGGAAUGUCAUUCAAGGACAAGAAUAAACUAUCUACCACUUUGUUUAUUUCUUUCUUGAAAAAAGAUUUCAGAAUAAAGAAGGUGAUUACUUCGAGCAGUGUCUUUUGCUUCAAAUGUGCUAAUUCGAAUUGCAAGUGGGGAUUGAGAGCGGUGAAGUAUGCAAGUUCUGAAAGAUUCGUCAUUCAUAAACAUGAAAAGUAUCACACAUGUGGUUUAGAGCACACCUCAAUCCAAAAUCCUCACGCCACGACAAAGGUCCUCGGUGAAUAUUUCAGGUGUAGUUUCCCCGAUGGCAAAGGCCUUACAACAAGAGUUAUGGCCAAUUAACUCCUUACGAAAUUGGGUGUCCUGAUCAGUUAUUGGAAGAUAUAUAUGGCCAUGGGGAUUGCUAAGGACUGGUUAGGGGGACACUCGAGCAUGGGUAUGCAGUCCUAGAUGCCUACCGUUACAUGAUUAAGUCCACAAAUUUUGAAAGUAAGACAACAUUGAAUCUUGAUGAAAACGGAAGGUUUAAGUACUUUUUUAUAUCCUAUGGUGCUUGGAUUCAAGGUUUUUGACCUUUGAGAAAAGGCAUAGCCAUUGAUGGUACCUUUUGAGGAGUAGGUAUAAUGGAGUUCUGCUAGCGGUGGUGGCACAGGAUGCGGAGAAUCACAUCUUUCCUAUCGCUUUUUGUGUAGCGGACAAGGAAUGCGAUGUCACUUAUGGAUUUUUCUUUUAACAACUGCGAAGCUGCGUCGAAGAUACUAAAGAGUUGUGUUUUGUAUCAGAUAGGUAUCCAAGUAUUCCAAAGAUAGGUUCACAUUUCUUUACUGCAGCUUACUUUGGUUGUUGCAUCAGGCAUCUUGGAGAGAACAUUCGGAUCAUCACAACGAAAGGGUAGUUACCCUUUUUUAUAGAGCAGCUAAAAAAUAUAGUAGAGAGGAGUUUUUAGACCAUUUCAAUAAAAUAAUGGAUGUGAAUCCUAAGGUAGUAGAAUUUCUCGUACGUGUCAGUUUCGAGUGAUGGACCCGGGUAUUCUGUCCGGUAGAUAGGUACAUUCUUAUCGAUUUAAUAUCUUGUUUGAGUUAUAAGUUUAGUAUGAUGUCGUACUAAGUGAUUGUUUUGUAUAGGUACAAUAUUAUGACAUCAAACAUAGCUGAAUCGGUGAAUUCAUUGUUUGGCGAUGAAAGAGAAUUUCCCAUUAAGGCUAUGCUUGAAAAAAUAAGCAAGAAGUAUGGGGAAUUUUUUAACGAAAGAUGUGUGCAGUUCAAGUGCCCAAAAAGAUCCCGAUUUAUUGUCGAAAUUGAAAAAUAAUAUCAACGAACAUCAAUUUGGGGAAUAGGUUAUUAUCUUAUAAAAUAGUAGAUUACAAAUUCAAUAUCACCGGUCAUGGUGACUUUGCCACGGUCAAUCUUUAAAUAAGAUCUUGUACGUGCAGAGUUUUUGACUUGGACAAAAUACCCUGUCCACAUGCUAUGGCAGUGCUUCGAGCUCAAUACGGUCAUAAAUAUGGAGCUGAAGUUACGAGCACUCCUCUCAAUAUUAUUCGGUGGAAAAAAUAUGAAAUGACAUAUAGUGGGUAUAGUACUCUGGUGCCUUUCGAAGAAUCUUGGGUUGUUCUUGUAGAGCUUAUAGGGAGAUUAAUACCUCUUCCAUAUAUUGACUCAAGCACUAUCAAACCGGGAAGAAAGCCAUAUAAGAGGAGGCGUGAAGUCAGAGAAUCAUUUCCAUCAAGAAGAAAAAAGUGCUCCGUAUGUAAGCGCGCUGGCCACAAAAGAACUACAUGCCCAAAUCGUAAUCCACCAUGAUCAUUGUAAUUGCAAAAACUUGUAUAGUUGUUUGUUGUGGACUUUUAUAUGUUUAACUCAUUAUUGUGAACGUAAUGUUAUCAUUUAUUAUAUAUAAAAUAUCUUUUUAAUAACUUGUGCAUCAAUAAAAAGAGGCAAAAUAGGAACUGUUAAACAAUACAAGAGACCACAAGUAUUUUAAACAGAUUACCCAUCUGUGGCAACAGAUGGAUAUUAGCUGGAAGAACACAACACAGUUCCAUAAAACUGGAAUGUUUUCCUCCAACAGAUGAUAAAUCUGUCGCAAUAGAUGGAUAGUUUGUUGACAGAAACCCAAUCGAUGACCAAUCUGUUCCAACACAUGGUCUAUCUAUUGAAAGAACUCAAAAACCAAAAUUGCUAUUGCUACUAGAUUCAAAAUUACUCCUUACCUCCAACCGUCGACAUGUUAACAUGUAAAAUAUUUAGAAGAAGAAAUAGACAGAAUGAAAAUUGAAUUAGAAUUAAAAAGUCAAAAUCGACUAAAAAUUAUUCUUUCAUUAAACGAAAAAUAAAAUACAUUAGGUAUAGAUCUGAUAUAGAAAAAUUAAAAUACAUACGCUAAAAGAAAAAAUAUAUUCUAAUUAUUAUUAUUAUCAUCAUCAUCAUCAUUAAUGAUAGCCGACCAAUCAAUUCACAACAGCAGGGUCCUCAUCAGCCUGUGCAUCUCUCUGACAAUUGUCGCUCUCACGGCAACCAACUCCCUCUGCAGGUCAUUAACCUGUCUCUGAAAUUCCCGCACUAUGUCGCGCAGAUCAAUAAUGUCCCAAAUAGGAUCAGCCAUUGCUAAAACACACAUGAAUUGGCAAAUAUAAAGAAAAGAGUCCAAAUGUAAUACAACAUAUACUACAAACUGGUAGAUUUACACCAAAAAAACUUACCUCAACGAUAAGGGAAUAUGAUCUUUGAAGAGAAGUUGUUGAAGAUGUCACAUGAAAAGAAAAAAUGCAAUAAAUAAAUAAAUUUUAGCAGAAUGAAGAUUAAGGAGGGACCUAUUUAUAGAGGAUUGAAUCUGGAUGUAUAUGGAUAAAAGACACGUCUAUUAAGCUCCAUUGUAUUAAUUACAUUCAAACUGGUGGCAUUUUGUUUUCUAUGAAAAGUCGUGACUUUUUCGUUUACGUUAAUACUUCUCACCUUUUCAAAAUGGUUUUGAGAAGACCUGAUAACAACCGUUAUUAUUGAGCUAUUGCAAUAGAUCGUCCAUCUGCCGCAACAGAUUUACCAUCUGUUGCAACAUAUAAAUUAUCUGUUGCGACAGAUGGACCAUAUAUUAGAGAUGUUUUGAUUUUUCUAACAACUGAUUCAUCAAUUGCAACAGAUGGAGAAUUUGAUUCAUCAACUGUUUUGAAUGUGUUAGAUAAAAAGUCGCGACACUACCUCUUUUUUAAUAGUCAUCACAUGUGUGUGUUGACACCUAAUUUUUGCCCUCCACAAUCAAGUUUAAUUCUGAGUUUCUUCGAUUUCUAAAUAAAAUCACAACAAUUAUUUUAUUCGAGUAAAUACAAUUUAAAUCAUUUAUUUAGGCUAAAUUUGUCAUUUUAGUAAUAAUGAUAUAUUUUCGUAUUUACAUCUAUGAGAGUGUAUAAAUUUUGUUAUUUAAAUGAACAUUUUUUAUUAUAAUUAGACGUCUAUUGAUUAAACUUGAAAAUUAAUCCAAAUGGAUAGUCUUGAUUUUAAAUAUAAUUUGUUCUCAAAAUAUUUUAUUUAGAGGAAUAUUUGUUUGAUUUUUAUCAAAUCAAGAAACUCGAGGUUAAUUUGUUUCUUAAUUCGUGUCAGAUUGCAAUUUAAUUUAGCGAACUAAUUAAAUAUGACCUCAAUUGAAAUCAAAUUGGCCCCAAUUGUAAUGCAAUUGACCAAUGGAUAUUCAAUUUGGCUAGAUUUAAAUAAGUCGCCUAAAUUGUAAUUCAAUCUUAAUCCCCAAAAAAUUACCGUUUCCUAAUUGAAAUUUUUUUAAUCUAAUUAAAUUUAAUUAGAGUUAUUUUUAAUCUAAUUAAAUUUAAUUAUGGUUAUUAUAAUCUAAUUAAAUUUAAUUAGGGUUAUUUAAUAACCCCAAUUAGAUUUAAUUGGGGUUAUUAAAUAACCCCCAAAUCAACCCCAAUUUCGGCCCAACAUCUUCACAAGACCCAACCCACCUGAGUCCCAAAAUCCUCAGCCCAAUUACACUAACAUUAAAACCAUAUCCAAUGGCCCAUUCCUAAAUUUCAUCCCGAAUUGACCCAUACCCAAACCAGCCCAAUCAACCCAAUUAACCAAUACCCGACCCAUCUUUUGUUUCCUUCUUCAAUCACAACACAUAUGUACAUCAACAAUAAACAACAACAGUAGCGAACAAUGAACAAUAAUGACGACGAUGAAAUAGGUCAGCCAGCGCCGACCCGACCCCAAAACCAGCUUCAUCCGUAAUGGCGAGACCUAACCCAGCGCUGUGCGCACGCAUGUCACAUUCGAUUCAUAUGAAGAGGGCUUGAGAACAUUCUAAAAACAUGCCUAGGUGUGUCAUCCAACGUUUAAAUCCCUAGAAUUUUGGAUUAAAGGGUACAAAUUUGUACCUUUGUGGAGAAAUUUCAUUGGCUUUGGGUGAAUUUUCAUUUUUUUUCAUUCCCAUUGGUUGAAACCAAUUUGAAAUUCUUCAAAGAAUUCAAAAUUGGUACAAGGUUGAGUGAAUUCUGUUACCAUUCUGAAAAAUUCAAAAAUACCCUUUGAAAAAUUUCCCCAAAUUACCCUUGAAUUUGUUUUUCCCAUAUCGACUGAAGCGAGUUCAUCCUCCAAAAUUUAUUUUCAAUAUAAAACUCCUUUGAGAGCAAAAAGAAGGGGACCUUGAAGGUUGAAAAAACAGAUCAAGCAAAAAGUUUUAUUUUUAGUUAAAACAAUAUUUUAGGAAAGAUCUUCGGAGUAGAAACGAAGCUCUUCGGUGGCGAUCGAAAUCCCGAUGAUAGCUCGUUAUCCUAUUUUGCUGCCCCGAAAGGGGUAAACACUUUUUUUAUUUUAACUUCCGUUAUGGUUUUAUUUUUCUUCCUCAUCCCUUUCUUUAUAAUAGUCGUAGUUGUUUUUGAUUAAGUAUGUUGUUUGCUGGGAGUAGCUGUAGAGGUCCUGUGAUGGCCAUAGGAUUUUUUAUCUGUUGCUAUGUUAUCACAGUAUUUGCUCUAUUGUCAAGUUCUUAUAAUUCUGAUUUUCCCAUUUUGAAUUUCUUGUCACAUAUUGAUCUCACUGAUUAGCUGUUGAUCCCUUUUUAACACAUAUCGCCAACAUUCUGUGUUUUGUGUUUGUUAUAAAGCUCAGAUUUUUGCUUCAUCCAAGAAUUUUUGACUUCAUCGAUUUGUUGUUUUAGCUUGAAUUGUUACCUGUCCUGAUUUAAUUGAGGUUUUUAGGUCAUGUCAUUCACUAUUAAGUUACUUAUUUUUUUGUAAUACAUUUUAUGGUUCGCAUGUUUAGUUAUAGACUCACUUUUUUUGUUUCGAAAUGUUGUUCGGCGUAAUUUGAUUGAAGUUUUAAGUCAUUAGGUCAUUUUCAAAUUAUCUCCUUCCUGUAAUAUGCUUAUUGAUUUACUAUUUUAGUACAGAUGCUCUCUUUGAGUCAGAUGAUUUUCUAUCGCACUUUGUUAAGCUUCAAACUACAGGUCUUGAUUAGCGAACUACUAUACUGCAAGGAAAAUAGCUUAUCUUUAAUCUGAAGGGAAAAUACUUUUAAAAGUUUUUCUUUACUAUUAGGACUUAGAGACUUCGAGAGCUUUGGAAUAUUUUUUUUUUGAAACUUUGGGACUUAGGAACUUGGACUUGGGAGUUUCUUCUGACUGAUAUAAACCAUGUGAGCUGACAUGGAGUCCAAUGUCUUGCCCACGUUCGAGAGAGCUGUUCUACCCUUUCCAUCGGAGUAGAACCUUAACUUAAGUGAUCACUAUCUUAGCCCACUAUGGGCAAAUUCAGAAACCUACGGUGGCACGUAGUUCUGGGGCAUGAGACCUUGAAAUCAUACCUAACUCGGUGCUAAAUACUACUCCCAUACUUAAGUUCAGAAUUUUAGGAAAUCCACCUUAAAACAGCACACGGGUUUAUAAUAAAACCAAUUAUGCUUAUCUUUUCUUUAAAUCACAAAGUGUAUGAAUAGUAUGGAUUCCUAUCUUAGCAUAGGAUCAAACAUCAACUUUCUUUAAAUCUUGGGAAGCAAUUUGCUAGAGGAAAACUUAAGGUCAUAGCCUUCUUGAAAAACUCAAAACUCAUUUUUGAUAUAUAACAAUAAAACAACUUUCAAGAACAUGAUAUUAAAAUCUCAAUAUUUGAUCUUUGGGCUAAAAGAUUCAUGCUUUAAACUCAUGAAAAUAUAUAACAACACUUUAUGCUCAACAUCAUUCUUGAUAUAUUUCAGCAAUAUCAAUCCAUAAAAAGGGAAGUCCAAUUCAUGAUAUAAAUUCUCAAUUCAAAGCAUAAAUAGGUGGGAUAAACAUGCAAACACAAGGUUUAAAUAACUUAUAAUUCCACAACCUUAAAACAAGAUGAUUUGGGUGUAAACCCCAACAUGAAAAUCAUGAAAUCUUUAAUAAAAUUCAAGUCUUUGGGCACAAGAAUGAAUAAAUUGUUCUUGUUCUAACCCCACAUACCUUAGAUGAUGAAGUAGAUGCACACGUUUGCUUUUUGAGACUCUAUUUGCACUCUUGAAUGAAGAUUCUUGAAGCUCUUGGUCUAGGGAUCUUAAAUCUUUCAUCAAUAUGGAAAAAGGAUGGUGAAAUAUUGAGUUUCUUGGAGAUGAAUAUUGAACUUAGGGUUUUCAAUUGGGUGAAGUUGAUGAAAUUUUGCCUAAAGUGCUUGUAAUAGGCUUUGAUUUUGUGUUUAGACGGAGGCCCUUUUGGAAUUGAAUUAGCAUGCAAAAUAGCUUUGGAUCCGUGUCAGUUUUUCUAGUUGAGGCAAAGUCAAUGCGACGUGUCAAGAUCGUGUUGGUUUACUGCCUCACACGAAAAAUGCCAUAAAAUUUUUACUCGAUUAUCGGAUUUUUGUGAAAUUGGUAUCGUUGGAAAGCUAAUUCAAUUAUAUACAAUUUGGUGGGUCUUGAGAUGAAAAAUUCCAUGUAUAUAAGAGGUUAUACACGUUUAAUUUAGAUCCUUGUAGAAUCAAACACCAAAUGUUGGAUGAAUCAAAUGAUCUUAGUUCAACUUUGUUCUAAGUCAUUGCUAUGAACAUUUUUCACCUCUAAACCACUUCAUAGACUAUGAUAAUGAUUGUGAAACUUAUAUUCACAUGGAAAUAAUUUGGAUUAGAGCUUAUACGCCUAGGAUCUAUGGUUAGAAUUCUAGCACGAAAAUAUGGGGUAUUACAUUAUCUAUCCCUUGGAAUUAUUCAUCCUCGAAUGUGGCUAAUUAAGCUUAAAACACUGAGGAAUCUGAGGCUAUACGCUAUCAUGCAUAACUGAAAUAAACUGAAUCACUGAAUCUUGAAUAUAAUGAGCUACUAAACUGAUCUGUGAGUGCAUAAAUUCUCAUGAAAAUAGCUAUAUGGCUAAGAUAGAAAUGACAGUGUCAACUUAUGAGUAACCAUUACUUUACGCUGGAUCUGAUCUCAUGAGAAAAAAGAGAGAGGUUUAUAACAUAAAAACUCGAGGUAUUGCAAUAUCCCCUUCUUAGGAUCGUUCAUCCCCGAAUGAUACUGAUUUGCUUGAAAUACUAGGAAAAGAUUGAGAUGAUACACAGGAUACUCACGAACUGAAUCAUGACCUUAAUAUCUGAAACUAAAACUGAUGCAUGAUGCGUGUGCUGAACUAAAUUCAUAAUUUACAUGGAUGCGAACCCAUUACUUCUUGGCAUGGAUAUACUCAAGAAGCUUUAGGUAGUAAGACUAGACUAAAUUGAAAAAUGGAAAACUAUAUAAAUUUGUCUAUCUGACUAUUAAACUGGACUGCUGGAUACACAGACUGAUUCAUACUGAAUUCUCACACCCAAAUAGGGUAUUUCUUUAACACUCUUUUAGGAAGUUCUAACGAUAUUAGAGAGCAAAGUAUUUUGGGCAUGAUCUCAACAAGACAUCUGACUAGGGAAUCACAACACUGAUACAACUCUAUAGUUUGGAACUUAGACAUAUACAUUAUAAGCUAGGUUAGAAUUUCUAGGCCUUAGGCAAUGCAACUUCUUACUUCCAAGCUUAGCAACUCUUCUCGAAUACUCCCUCAACUAUACUAUUCCCCUUAAAUACCAUACUCACUUGAUUCAACUUGUAAUUCUCACAUGGGUAUUGAUAAACCUAUCUACUAAGGUCUAAACUAAACUAAGUCCUCUCACAAAGGCCAAGCAUAACUCAAAAUCACGGGUACUACACAUAACACAAUAACUGAACUGGACUACCGACGCGAUAUGCGACGCGUCGCGUUGCUCCUUAUCAAUGCGAUAUAUGAUGCACCGUGACCAUAUCGUGUUACCUCACUAUUUUUACCAUCAAACCUCGCCUAAAAAAUCUGAAACUUACACGAGAUGUGCUAUUGACAACCCCGAUCAUGAAUUCACUUAAGGAUUGACAUUCUAAGGUCGGGAAAGUUGGAAACUAAUGCGCACCGCAUUCAUCCACUUAUAAACCAACAUAAAAUUCACGCCUAUGGCUAUAACCUCAUAUGAACGUCUAAAUAACCACCCAUAAUGGCAUACUCCUUGUAUUCUUUAAACCUCUAUCAUAAAAACUCCCACGUGCUACCCCAAGAACAUACACACAUAAAUUUUAACUAACCACAACAUAUAUCAAAUACUUGGACUCAAUAUUACUUCACACUCAUGGCCUUAUCUAAAAAAAGCAUACAAUGAUAUUUCAUCAACAAGAAAUAUUUACUCAUCACCACUAUCAUUACAUAAGGAGAAGUCACUAAAAGGUUAGAACAUGAGACCUUGAAGUAUGGAAGGAUAUUAUAUAAAAAUUGAUGCUUAACUGAGGCCCGAGGAUAGAGAAUCAAUAUCAUAGAUUCAUCAAAGUGAUCUGAAUUGAGGGCAUACAUGGCUAUAAGAUGAAUCUCACCAAUUAUUAGGAGCAUAGCAGGAGUUAUGAGAACUGAUCAUGCUAUAAAGCAUGAGUACAUAAGUCAUGGUCUGCAUGAUCUGAGUUUAGAAUCCAUGAUGUCAUGGAACAUAAUCUGUACUAUUGAGUGAACUGGAACUGCUUAUGCUAGGAAUUGGAAGUAUAUAUGAUUUUCUAUUAUGCACAUGAAUAUGAACUUUGAUCAUGGAACUGACACAUAAGGCAUGAGUAGAUAUCAGAAUAAUUGAAUUAAACUAUUGAAAUAAGAAUGGAUUAAGCAUCAUUCUUCCUUACGGCUAUUUUACAACAUACUGGCACUCAUGCUAGAAUUUGAAAGCUUGACUUGGUUCUUUAUUAUAUCAUCUCCCUCUUAGCUUUAAGCCAUUAUUCUAAGUUUGUGAACAACUAUAUAAACUCUAAUCUAAACUUCAAUCACUUUACUCCAGAGUCUGGGAUAUAAGUCAAUACACAUAAAACUAAACUUACCCUGAAGGAAUGCACCUUCACUUAUAACACCCAACUCUAAUACCUACUUUUGAGAUUCAACUCUUAUAUUUCUGUAGCCCCAAAGUCAUCAUAUAACAACAUAAACACUCACCAACUUAGACUUUAACACUUAACAUGGAUAUCUCUAAACCCUUGCUAGACCAUACUUUCUUCAUACUCUACAAAUGUCACAUCUCAAAACUUAUAUUUUUCUCUAAACCAUGAGAAUCAAGAUCAUAUCAAAAGGCUAAACAUUAUCAAUUAAAACUUCUUAACUUAGUUAUUUAUGACACCAUAUACCCUGUAACUAGCCUUCUUUCACUUAGCAAUUCAACAAUACUACCAACCACAUACAACAUACAAUAAUCUCCGAAAAAUAAAGCAAUCCCAUAUCACCUUAGGCAUAUUGCGAUACAUUAUACUUGCAACACCAUACUUAAUGAUGAAUAACUAAAAUCAAACUCUUUAAUACAUGGUUCAAGCCUACUAGAUUACUUCCAUACAACUAGCCGUAUUAGCCAAGAAAUCAUUACACCCACUUAGAUAACCAUCCACUGUUCAAACUUAAGGUCUAGUGCUAAACAUGAUUUAGCAACCCACCUUAUAAACCAUUCUUGCUCAAAAGCUAUAAAAUAAGACAUCAAGAAACACUAGUCCACUAAAACCUUAAAUGACAACAAUAAUCAAUCAUAAUUAUAUGUGCUAUCUUAUUUACAAUCCCUUAACAUAUCCUCCUUCUACACAUAAUUACUAUUCACCCAUCUAUAUACCUAACUUCUUUUAUAGCUCUAUAAAUUUCAACUAAAACUCCUUUUUGCAACCCCAAGAAAAGCCUAAACUAAUGAUACUAAGCCACUAAAUACUUCAUUAAUACCCUAUACCUUUUAAACAUAAUAAAUACCAUCAAUAACUCCUUUCGUACUUCAAGCAAACACCAAUUCACCUUAACUAAUAAUUCAUUGUCUACCUUCCACUAAACACAUAUUACCAUAACGUAAAAAUCAAUAGCAUGCAUAAACUUAUCUCUAUACUUUCUAUCAAUCGUCAUUUCCACUUUUCUUGUCACUAUUCUUCUAUACCCAUACUUUCAACUAUAAGAAGGUUCUACUACUUAUGAAUCAUAACAAUUCAGGUUGCAAUAUCCCUUAAUGCAAACUCUAUUCAACAAUCUAGAUUCAUAUUAUCUCCUCUUAUGAGCACUAUUUGUAUUAAAGGAAUAAUGAGGAAGCUGAAUGCAUAGCUUAUUCUGUCUUAAAUGUACAACUCCUAUAGGUAAGAACAUAGACUUUUGACUUAAGGAACUUAACACACUAGGGAGCUCCCCCCAAGCCCUUUGUAUGACUUUUGAAAUUUCUGCUAGUAAAUCUGAGAGCAUUAUCUGGGGAGGAACUAAAACUUACUAAUUAUGUUAUUUCAAGAAUAAGUCAUAGAUAGGGAAGUAUAGAUUAACAUUAUAAAUUUUGAGAAGGGAUCUGAAAAUAGAUCUGACUUGGGCUUAGUGCACUAUUUUCAUAAACAUGAAUGAAGUUCUUUAAAGUUUGGAACUUAAAAGCAUUGAUGAGAUAAGUUUGAGCCUGCGUACAAUCCUAUAACUAUCUGUGGGGACUGUCAGAGAAAGCUACAUCUGUAAAGGUUUAAGCUUAACUAUUUUUGUUACCUAGAAAAUAAGGCAGGGGUAGUCUGAAUAGAGCAAGAUGAGAAUCUGUAUAAGUUUCUUAGAGGACCUUUCUAUAGCAUAAUCUGAGACUUGGGGAAGGGAAACAUUUCCUAAAUGCCCUAUAGCUUCUCAAAGAAAAGUAUAGACGUCUCUGUACCAUUUUGCAAGACUCUACUAGACACGACUUCAUAAACACCCUAGGACACUUGAACCUUGUGCUCUGAUACCAAGUUUUUAACGCCUCAAAAAUCUAUCCCGAGAUGUCACACAGUGCUUAGGACCACAAGUGAUUUCAAGCUAACCCUUCUACUGGCAUAACUCAUAGGCAGCUGAAUAAUAUAUAUAACAUGAAUAAAUUUACUAUAUGAAAACAUAUAAUAAUGAAAUCUGUGAAAUUAUAAUACUGAUAAAGCUUUACAAUCUAAUAAAUCUGAAGUAUGAAAACUAAAUUUACAUGAUUGACUCUAACUGACAUCUGUGAAGCCUCUACUUUACUGGCUAUAGAUAGCUAAGACGCGACCCCAACUAUCACUAAUCAAUACAUAUGAUUAUGAAAGUAAAGAACAUAAAUAAAUCUAGCUAAAGUCCCCAAAGUAGGAGGACUCAUCAUCUUGUGGGCUAGAAUCUACAACUGUCUGAGUCUGAAUGUUCAUACUAAAACUUGUACCUACAUUAUGAGACAAUUUCUGUAACCCCCUAAAUCUUGUACCCAAAAUGCUACUCGGUGCCUAUGACCCCGAAGGACCAUAAGCUAAUCCAUGACUGAUAUCUGUAAUCAAGCACUGAAUAAUAAUAAUAAUAAUAAUAAUAUCGUAACUACAGAAACAUAAAUUGAAAGGCCAUAAGGUUCAAUACUAGUACAUAACUGAAAAUAUGGUAUAACAAUACCAAAAUAACUGAAAUAACUAUAUAAACAUACUGUAGUCUGGAAGCCUCUAAAAUGUCUGACUAAGGAGUUAAUUGGACAUGUCCCCAACUAACUUCGACUACUGAAAUAAACUAAAAACUAAAAUAAUAAUGUAAUCAUCAUGUCCUCAUGAAAUAAACUAAAAACUAAAAUAAUAAUGUAAUCAUCAUGUCCUCAAAGGAUGAGGACUCACAGCUAACUCUGAUUGCUGAAUUGGCAUGCUACUGAUGGUUUGACGCUCGUGCUUCUAAACCUAUGGUAUAAGACACCAUAGUGAAAAUGCAUUAGUACUUUGAAUGUACUGGUAUGCAAGUGAGGUAGGCUGAAUGCAAGGGAUUUCAUAUGCAUGAACAAUACUAACUGAUUGACUAAACAUGAACAUGGGAAUACAUGCAUGCAUACGUAACUGUAUCUGACAUCUUUAUAGGACUGAAUAUUGAGUUCUGACUAUUGAGUUUACUAAUAACAUGGAUUUACUAACAUUUGAGUUGACGAAUAUUGAGAUACUAAAUAAUUAAGGGACUGAUACUACGUUACUGAUACAUAAAUAACUGUGUUUAAUAGUUCUAAUUUUGAAGAAUUGGUCUGGUUGACUGUAUCUGACAAUCCUGAAGCUGAAUACUGAUAAAAUGAGUUUUGAUAACUGAUAUAACUAAUAACAUGAGUGACUGUAUUUGACAGUCCUGAAUCUAAUGUAACUAGCUGAGUUCCAUACUAUAUCUGAGUGACUAUAUCUGACAGUCCUAAAAUUUGUAGAAUUAUCUGAGUUCUAUUACUGAGACUGAGACAGAAAACUGAGAUUGUGGGAAGUAAUCAUCUAACCGAUAUGCCCCAUACUAAGGUAACUGGGGUCCAACCUGUGACCCUAGUUGGAAGGGUAUCAGUACCGCGCAACUAGUAUAGACAACUGUGGUGGAGUUAGUCCUAAUCUAGCGGGUGACCCCUGGGAUCAGUCCUAUACAUUUAAAUGUGCUAAUAGGUGAUCCAUGAGUAUGUCAGUCCUAUCUAACGGAUGACAUCUCAUACCAACGCUGGCUACGUAGUUCUAGAACUUAGGGAUUUCUUCUAGGGAUCUCAGUCCUAUCUAGUGGGUGAAUUCCCAUCCCUAGGCUCGCUCGAUGCUGAAUUCUACUCCCAUCUGAAAGACACUGAACUGAUUAACUGAACUGAAGUGAUUAUCUGAAUUGAGCUGAUACUAAUGGUAUUGUUUAGCGGAGCUAAACUGAGUUUAUUGAGUUUCAUUGACUGAUGAAAUGUACUGAGUUUUGAGGACUGACUGAGAGUACUGAAGUUACUGAGAUUACUAGGAAUACUGCGGUUACAGAGAUUACUGAGUAGGACUGAUCUGAUGGAUACUAAUUUAUUAAGAUUUCUUGAGUCAUGAGACUGACUAGAUUCUACUGAUCAUGGCUUGAUUGAGAUUAUCAUGAAAACCUGACAUGGCUCUGGGCCGACAGCUAAAUUAUCGGGUACGAGUAUCCCUAGGACUCGAUGGAUAGAAACUAACAUAACAUGUCUUACUUGAACAUAUGACCAACAACACAAUUCAUAAUUCAUAUAUUGAAGCACUUCAUCAAACAUGUGAUAUGCAUAAACUUGUACAUAUAUGGGGAUUUCAUAAUAUCAUGCUAGUUGGGCAUUUUUCCUUUAUAUAGGCACUUAAUCAAACACAUGGUAGGAAUAAUAUAUGUAUAAAACAUUAUACAACAAUUAAACAUCAUGAUUGAACAUCUAAUUUCAUCAUCCUAGGGUUUAAUCAUAGGUUUACAUGAAUAUACAUCUAUACAAAUCAAUUCCACAUAACAUUGAUCACAAAACAUGGAUUUGAAUUCAAUUGAUCAUUCUCAGCAUAAACAAAACAAAUCCAACAUGAAAUUCAUAAAGAAAUCCAUAAACUUAAACUUAGAAAAGAGAUUCUUGGGCUUCAUGGAUGAAAAGAGUCCAUGAAUGAACACUAUGCAUACCUUGGUUCAUAAAUAUACAAAGAUUGACGGAGGAAAUUCUUGAACUUGAAUCUUCUAUGAAAAACCCUAAUAUGGUCUUGAGAGGAUUUUGAGAGAAUAGAAUAUAUUUUGGUGUACUGGAGGCUCAAAUCCGUAUUUUUGAGCUUAUAUAGGGUAAGAAAAUUGACCCUUUUAACCCUAGGACACAUAUUUUAAUUCUUCUGAAAAUUUCCCAAUUUUCAUCCUUGGCCCGAUGUGCCACUAUCGUGCUAAGUCACUAGAACUGUACAAUUGGGAAUUUGCAGGGUGGCACGACACCGAGCUAUCACGUUGCCACCCUGUUUGAGACCUGGAAGUUUGGCGUGAAAUGCCACUAUCACAGAGGAACACUGAAAAUUUACAAUUGCUAUUUAAGCUGGCUCCACAACGUGCUGAUGGCUUAGGUGAUACACUAUCUCACUAAAAAGGCUCUAACUCUUUGCCCAGGUCUCACAUGACAAAAUGAAAAUCUUGAAAAUACUAAAUGUAUAAAAGUAGAUUCAUCUUUGAAACAAGUCUUUGACAUUCUUGGGAUGGAUUUAAGCCGGUAGAAGUACGAGGUAUUACAAUAUCUCUCCCUUGGGAACAUUUAUCCUGGAAUGAGACUGAUUGAUAUGGGAGAAACGAUAAGCUGGAGUACAUACUGAACAUGAACAAUUGAAACAUGACUACCUGAAUGAUAUUACUUAGAUUCAUACUGAGCAUACAUAUCUAAUACAUGAUUUUAUGACUGAGCUGAUGUAUGACUGCAUAACUGAGAGUACUGAUAAGCUGAUCACGUAUAUCUGAUGCAUGAAUACAUGAAUGAACUGACUUAAAGAUACCAGGUUUGAAACCAAAACUGAGCAUAGAACUGAAUACCAUAUUUGUAACUGAAAUAUGAACAUGAAACUGGAUAAGCUUAAGAAUAGAUACUAUCUUAGGCUGAGUUUGAAUUUAAUUACUAAAUAUGCAUGAGCAAAAACAUAAGAGCAUAACUGGGUCUAGAACAUGAUAUAUGAGCUGAAUAUCGUGAUCUGAACUGAGUACCUUGAAUACGUGGCUUACUGCUGAAAUUGGAGUCUGGGGGUCAACCUAUGGGUACCCGCUACUCCAAACUAGAUUUGUUAUGCGAAGAGAAACUGAAUUUAAGACAUGAGAGCGUUGAGGAAUAAUGGGAUAUCUUCCCCUUGGGACACUACCUCUCUCUAAGAACGCUCACCUUACUAAGAUACUGGGGCAAUGCAUAGGGCAUCAACCGACUAAUUUAUGAUUGAAUACCUGGGGUUCAAAACUGAGACAUAACACCAAAAUUGAGCUAAACUCACAAUCACCAAGAUGUAUUACCUUGAACCGAUCUUAUUCACAAAACUUAGGAUAGUAUGGCUAAAUGAAAAGUUGGAAAACAAACCAUAGGAAUUUAACUGUCUGACUGCUAAAUGAAAUUACUAGUUUUACUUACUAACUCAUGCUGAAAAAUCUUAAGCCAAAAUAAGAGAAAGAGGUCUAAAAAUGCAUAUCAUGAGUAUGAAGGAUCUAUAAUGUACCCAAAUCUAUGCUGGGAGAAUUUCCAUGAUCAUGGUGAGUCUGAAGAGCAUAAAAACUAUUUUGACGCUGGCCACUAGUGGUACUAGAAGUGAUGCCCUACUGGCAUAAAUCCUUUCCCUUCCGAGCCCUUACUCUAUAUUCCUAUAGCCUGUGGCCUGGCUUACCACAUCCAUAACAAACCUCCCUGCCUGCUCUUUAUACACCUAGGUGAUUCUUACCACACUCUUUACAAAAAAGAUAGGUAAGACUCCUAUUCUCACUACCCUGGGCCUCAGAGCCUGGCGACCCAUCACGACUGUCAUUCCUGAACUUAGGUACUGGUGCACUAGCUAAAGAUGGGGCUGGGACUAAGAACUUAUGACUAUACUGAUAACGGCUACCACCCUAUGACUUUGGCUGAGCAAAGUUGAAACUACCUAUCCUUGCCCUCUUAUUCUGCUUUUUAUUCACCUUAAUCUUUUGCUCUUCUAUCUAUUGAGUAUGGGUCACAAGUCUAGAUAAAGUUAUGUCACUAUUUAGCAUGGUGGAUCUGCACUCAUUUACCAUGCUAGCAUUCAUUCCUGACACAAACUUACUCAUCUUGGCCUUACUGUCUGAAACCACAUAAGGGGAAUAUCUGGCUAAUUGAUUAAACUUAAGAGAAUACUCUUUCACCAUCAUGUUGCCCUGCCUAAGGUUGAUGAAUUCUAACACUUUAUCUUCUCUAAUCUCUAGGGGAAAGAACCUCUUUAAGAAUGCAAUGACAAAUUCAUCCUAUUCUAUAGGCCCUGUAUCAUCUCCCCUUUCUAACUUCCACUACUUGAACCAAGUAUGAAAAACAUCCAGUAACUGAUAUGUAGCUAGCUAAGUACUCUCAAUAGUAGUCACCCCUAUGAUAUCAAUCACCUUCUAAUCCUGAUCUAGGAAUUCCUAAGAGUCCUCAUCUGACUUAGACCCAAGAAAGAAUAAAGGGUUCAUUCGGGUGAAGUCCCGAAUCCUGGCUGCAGUUGAAUUAGCCACUUGGUUGGCUGGAACAAUAGGUGGUCGUUCAUUCUGAGCAGCAAUUGACUGAGAAAGAGUAGUGAAUGUAUCCCUAAAAUCUACAUGAGAAACAUGUUCGCCCAAAGGUUCUUCAGCUGAGGGACUGACUGAUUCCUAUUUUUUCUUUUAGGAGGCAUGUUCUAUAGAAGAAAGGGAGAAACGGAUUAGACUGAGAGUUUAACUUUAAGCCUAUGCUCACUGGCACGACAUGAAUACUGAAAGAAAGGAAACUGUUCCUAAAACAUCUCAUAGCCUCCUGCACAUAAGUGUGGUAUAAAAUAUACCUAUGUACAAGACUCUACUAGAUGCGGCUCUUAAACUUCCUAAGAAACUAUUGAACCUGUCUUUGAUACCAAGUUUGUAACGCCCCAAAUCUAGUUGUCGAAACGCUACCCGGUGCCUAUGACCCCAAAGGACCACAAGCUAACCCUUGACUGAUAUCUAUAACUGAGCAUUAAAUAAUAAUAAUAAUAAUAAUAUCAUAGCUGUGAAAACAUGAACUAAAGGACAUAAGGUUCAAUACUAAUAUAUAAUUGAAAAUAUGGUAUAACAAUACCAAAAUAACUGAAAUAACUCUCUGAUCAUACUAUAGUCUGGAAGCCUCUAAACUGUCUGAAUAAGGAGUUGAAGAGACAUGUUUGCAACUAACUCUGACUACUAAAAUAAACUAAAAGCUGAAAUAAUAAUGUAAUCAUCAUUUCCUUGAAGGAUGAGGACUCACAGCUAACUCUAACUACUGAAUCGGGAUGCUACUGAUGCUCUAGCGCUCGUGCUUCUAAACCUAUGGUAUAAGACAUCAUAAUGCAAAUGUGUCAGUACUUUGAAUGUACUGGUAUGAAAGUAAGGUAGGCUAAAUGCAAGGGAUUUCAUAUGCAAGAACAAUACUAAUUGACUGACUAACAUGAACGUGAGAAUACAUGCAUGCAUACGUAACUGUAUCUGACAUCAUGAUAGGAUUAAAUAUUGAGUUCUGACUACUGAGUUUACUAAUAACAUGGAUUUACUGACAUCUGAGUUGACGAAUACUAAGAUACUGAAUAAUUGAGGGACUAAUACUAUGUUACUGAUACAUGAAUAACUGUGUUUGACAGUUCUGAUUAUGAAAAAUUGGUCUGGUUGAUUGUAUUUGACAAUCCUGAGACUGAAUACUGAUAAUAUAAGUUCUGAUAACUAAUAUAACUGAUAACAUAAGUGACUGUAUCUGACAAUCCUAAAUAUGAUAGAACUAGCUGAGUUCCAUACUGUAUUUGAGUGACUGUAUCUGACAGUCCUAAAAUCUGUAGAACUAUCUGAGUUUUAUUACUGAGACUAAGACUGAGACAAAAAACUGAGAUUGUGGGAAUUAAUCAUCUAACCGUCAUGCCCCAUACUAAGCCCAGUGGGGUCCAACCUGUAGCCUUAGUUAGAAGGGUAUCAGUAUCGCACCACUGGUAAAGACAACUGCUAUGGAGUCAGUCCUAAUCUAGAGGGUGACCCUUGGGAUCAGUCCUAUAUAUUUAAAUGUGCUAACGGGUGAUCCCUGAGUAUCUAAUGGGUGAAAUCUCAUACCUACGCUAGCUACAUAGUUCUGGAACUUAGGAAUUUCUUCUAGGGAUCUCAAUUCUAUCUAGCGGGUGAGUCCCCAUCCCUAGGCUAGCUUGGUGCUGAAUCGUACUCCACUCUGAAAGACACUGAACUGAUUAACUAAACUGAAGUGAUUAUCUAAAAUAAGCUGAUACUAAUGGUAUUGUUUAGUGGAGCUAAACUGAGUUUACUGAGUUCCGUUGACUGACGAAAUGUAUUGAGUUUCGAGGAUUGACUGAGAGUACUGAAGUUACUGAGAUUACUAGGAAUACUACAGUUACUGAGAUUACUGAGUAGGACUGAUCUGAUGGAUAUUGAAUUUACUGAGAUUUCCUGAGUCAUAAGACUGAGUAGAUUCUACUGAUAUUGGCUUGACUGAGAUUGUUAUGAAAACCUGACAUGGCUCUAGGCACACAACUAAAUUAUUGGGUACGUGUGCCCCCAGGACUCGAUGGAAAGAAACUGGCAUAACAUGGAUUACUUGAACACAUGACCAAUAACACAAUUCAUAAUUCAUAUAUUGAAGCACUUCAUCAAACAUGUAAUAUGCAGAAACUUGUACAUAAAUGGGGAUUUCAUAAUAUCAUGCUAGUUGAGAACUUUUCCUUCUUAUAGGCACUUAAUCAAACACAUGGUAGGCAUAAUAUAUGUAGACAACAUUAUACAACAAUUAAACAUCAUGAUUGAACAUCUAAUUUCAUCAUCCUAGGGUUUAAUCAUAGGUUUACAUGAAUAUACAUCUAUACAAAUCUUCCACAUAACAUUGAUCACGCAACAUGGAUUUGAAUUCAAUUGACCAUUCUCAACAUAAACAAAACAAACCCAACAUGAAAUUCAUAAACUUGAACAUAGAAAAGACAUUCUUGGGCUUCAUGGAUGAAAAGAGUCCAUGAAUGAACAUUAUGCAUACCUUGGUUCAUAAAUCCACGAAGAUUGAAGGAGGAAAUUCUUGAAAUUGAAUCUUCUAUGAAAAACCCUAAUGUGUUCUUGAGAGGAUUUUGAGAGAAUAGAGUAUAUUUUGGUGUAAUGGAGGCUCAAAUCUGUGUUUUUGAGCUUAUAUAAGGUAGGAAAAUUGACCCUAUAACCCUAGGACAUGUAUUUUAAUUCUUGUGAAAAUUUCUAGAUUUUCAUCCUUGGCACAAUGCACCACUAUCGCGCCAAGUCAUUGGAACUGGAUAAUUGAGAAUCUGCAUGGUGGCGCGACGAAGAGCUAUCGUGUUGAUACCUUGUUUGUGACCUAUAAGUUUGGUGCAACGCACCACUAUCAUGGAGCAACACUGGAAAUUGACAAUUGCCAUUUAAGAUGGCUCCACAACGUGAUGAUGGCUCAGGUGAUACACUGUCUCACUAAAAAUGCUUUUCGUCCGGGUGUCGAAUUUGGACGAAUUUAGUAUCGAUGGAAAGCUUACUGAAUUUUCCAUAUGACAAAAAGUGAAAAUCUUGAAAAUAACACAUGUAUAAAAGUGUAUUCAUCUUUGAAACAAGUCUUUCACAUUCUUGGGAUGGAUUUAAGCUGGUAUAAGUACGGGGUAUUACAAUGUAGCACAUAGACUGUAACACCCUGAAUGUUUGAGCUAAAGAUAAAACAAAUAUGACCGCUCUCACCUGGAACUCCAAUUGUUAAGAUGCAACAAAUGAAUCUCAACUGGAACACUUAUAACCAUUCCUUAUUUCAUUGAGUACUGUAAAAGCCAUGAUUCAAGAACAUAAGGGAAUGCUUUCUGAAAGAUUGAAUAUGAUCUUUCUUGAUUUUGUUUCCUCACCAGUAAAGGUAUGAUUCAUAAGUUAAUUAUUCUGUUAUAAAGAAAAAAACCAACGGGAGCUAUCUUCAACUUUAAAUAGGAUAUAUGACUUCUUGCAAUAAGGUUUUAAAUUUAUCCAUUAUGCUUGUAAGUGUAAUGAAAAAGCUUUGAUAUGAACCCCUUAAGAGAAUGUAUCCUCACUCGCCUAGAAAGCUAUGAAGUGAUACCAAAUCAAAAUUUUAUGAAUUCAAAAUUGGUUGAAUUCCCAACAUGAGCCUAAGAGGCUAAAUUACGUACAUGAGCCUAAAAAGGAUAAUCCACUAGCAUGAGAUUAAUAUGGCUAAAACUUUGAACAUAAAUAAAUAGGUUAACUUCAUGAGCAUAAGGGAGUUUGUUAGCUGACCGUAAUGGUAUAAAUUUAAAUGACAAAUGCCCGAAACUAUGUUUGCCGACAUAGGAUAAAGAUUAUUCCACAAGUUGAAUGACUCUUUUUACAUGUGCCUGAAAAGGGGAUAACCAUGGAUACUUUCUAGCAAAUUAUGUCAUGUCACGUUCUAUGCCCAGUAAGGUAUAGGAUGGCUUAGCUGAUCGGGCCCAGAUCAGAAUCCAUGACCUGUCAUGGUGGUUUAUGACGGUUCAGUACUUUCUUCCACAAAUAAUCAAAGAAAGUAAAUCUACUUUACUUGAUCAAUUAUAAAUUUAGUUUACAUUCUUGUUCUUUUCCAGUUGCCUUCACUUAUAUUUGAAUUUUAUUGUUACUUCUAAUCCCCUGAUGUACUACCCUCCUGAAAUGGUUUUGCAUAUCAAUACAUUCCAAGUAUUGAUUGUCUUUGGCUCUACAUCAUUUCAUGAUGUAGGUUUUGGAUCUCAAGUCCGCGGUCAAGUACCUCAUUAGGAUUAUUAUCUUUGCUAUUGGCGAACCUCUUUCCUACCAGGAGGUUGGACGAGUUAUGAUGCCUUCUUUAUAUUUUCUUUUCUUUCAAUAUUGGUACUUAUUAGAGGAUUCACAGACUGGUUUAGUUAUCAUAAAGAUCUUGCAAUUUUUAGUCCUAUUUUUCAUGACUAUUGUAUUGUAAGACAUUAUGUGGUAUUAAAGAACAUUGAUGAAAGACUUUCUCCUUUAAUAAUUAUUAUUUCGUAUUAUUUUCUCUCUAUUCAUUAUGUUAGGUGUAUGCUCAUGUGAUAUGCCAAAAUGUUUGCUCAUACUAGCAAUAGUAUCGAGUGCAUGUGACGUCUAGGGCCUUGGCUCGGGGCAUAACAAACUUGGUAUCAGAGCUCAGAGUUUAAGUGUCUUAGGGUAUUUAUGAAGCCAUGUCAGUAGUGUCCUAAUUAUGGGUGUGAUGUGCGCCACACUUAUGAUUUGGAGGCAGCAGGGCAUUUAAGAAAUAUUUCUAUUCUUUCAUACUCUAGAUCAUGCAAUAGAGUUGCUCUAAGAAACUUAUGCAUACUCAUGUGUUACUCUAAUUGUUCUUUUUAUGCCUCACCUUUGAGGUGGAAGAGGUAGUAAGGUUAGAUUCCUAUCGAUGUAGUUCUCAUAGAUAGUGCCAACCAAAGAGUUAAGAGACUGCACGAGAGAUUAUAAAUAGACCAUUAGUGUGUUUAAGUUCUUCAUUUCAGUAGGAUGCACCCUUGUUUAUAUGAAUCAUAUGUUUGAACCUAUGGUAAUAUGUACUCUCAGGCCCUUUUGAACCUUGUCACUGAUGACAACUUUGAUCGAAAAAGUUUGUAUAUCAAUGCCUGGGUAGUAUUUUCACUUGAGAGAGAGUAGUUUGGGGUGUUGUAAGUCAUAAGCAGUAGAGUGAAAUCUAAAUCUAGAAAUAUGAAUUCAGAAGUUUAGCGGCCUAAAAGUGGAGAUGAUAAAUUGAUCGAAGUGUGUAGCUGAAGUCAUUUAUCCAUUAACUGAGUAAUGAGAUGAAAUGUCCUUAGGUGUUGGUCAAGGUGUAAAUUUGAUGGUUGCAAGUAGAGCAAGGAUUUUUGGAUAUGAUAACUUAGAAGUAUACUUGAACUAGGAAGCAAGUUAGGAUGACAUGCGAUGGCGUUAGUUAAGAUUAAGUUUAUGUUUUGAACAGGAGGAUAAAGUGGUCAAGAAUUGACAAAUUUAGGCUACCCCCUGUGUUUUAAAGAGAGUUCCCCACUUGUUGUUUUAGAUCUAUGAAUAUAGUUUAGACAGAUCAUUGAAUAAGUAGUAGAUGUGUACGAAAAAAAUACGCGGAUAGAUUGCAACUAGAUAGGUUGUGAGACUAGAUUAAAAAUUUACUAUGUUGUCAAGAGCCCUCAAUGACCUAGUGUUUCCUGAUUAUCUUUGGUAGCAAUAAUUCUAAGUAGUAUAAGUGGAUGAGUGUUGUUAUCUAUGUUUAGUACUAGACCGUAAAGCCUGACCUUAGAUGAUCGUUGUGGUAAGAAAAAGGGUAGCAUGAGGGUAAUAAUGUUUGUUAGGAUUUGAUACAGUGGGCUUGACAUAACGUAUGCGAGAAAUUAAGAUGUUAACUUAUGAAAAGUGUGAAAGUGUAAGUGUGAUAUAUGCGGGCUCUAGAUGAAUAAGUGAAUGAAGGCUAAAACAUUUGAUAAGGAAAUCUUAAGAAUUAUAAGGGAAGAUGUGUGUUCCAGAAGAGAUAUAUAUCGUAGAUGAGAUUCUUAGCUCCUAAGUGUGGUGUGUUCCUAGUUUAUUAUUCUUGAUAUUGUGUAAGGUGGAGAGAUUCCAGAUAUGAAUUAUAUGGUAAUCCUACGGCCUGAAUUAGGGGAUUAUAAAUAAGACAGUACAAUGUUGAGUCUCUUGGUAUAAGUUUUAAUUCUAUAAUAUUGGGUGGCUAGAAAUUUAGAGGUGUGAUAAUUGUAGACUAAUAAGAAAGACCAGCUUGUUAAGUUUUUAAGGAAGUGGGCAUGUAUACAAAUAGGACCAUAAAUUAUAGAAUGAUGGUCAUAGAGGCAAGUAAAAGUUUAGGGUAGUAUCUCAGAAAGUAUUCCUAGAAAAGAUUAUCUACAAAUAUAGUCUAAUAAAGAGAGUUUAGCAUUUAUGUAUAUAGUGAUAUCCCGACCAUGCAGAGUAAAGUAAUGAUAGCUCUGUUUAGAUAAUAAGUCCACAAACUUAGGAUGCUGAAUUUUAAGCCAAGAGGGAGAUGAUUGGGUGAGGAACCAAGGCAUGUCUUUGGAUACAAAUAGUAACGUAAUGAGUACAAAAAAAGAGCUAGAAUAAGAAAGUGACCCAUUCUUUAUCCUAAAAUAUCCCUUGUACUUCAGUCACUAUGACACUCUACUCUUGUCUCCAUGUUAGAAUCAUGCCCAUGAUCUAGGUUUAUGAACUUCAUACCGAUUCACGUUUAUGCUAAGUUACUAGAAUGAAAAUAAAAUGAGCUCAAUGAUCCCAGACUUACUUCAUGAAUCCACGAAUUCCAGUAUGCCUAGUCCUAUGAACUCACACUUUUUGAUAUGUUUCAAACUCAUGUUAUGUCAUUAUCUAUAUCCACAAUGAUUCUUCAGACAUGCUUUAUGUAUUUGAUAUAUGAAAUAUUCGGGCCUAUUAUGCAUUAUUCACAGGACAUAUCUUUAUUAGCAAGGUCAUGAUAAGUAUUAGUAGAGAUUGAGCAAUAUUCCUUAUAUUCCUGCUGUUCAUAUUCUAGUCCUUUGGUGGUAUUCUUUAUGACAUAAAGAUGGUGUGAUAUUAGUUGAGUAAUGGUUGGAUAGAAGUGACUAGAUGUUCCUUGUUACGAUGAUGGCAGUGUACCGAUUCAUCUAAGAUCAUAAGAAUAGAUGAAGUGCGAGAUGAAAAUUAGCUAUAUGUAAUAGUUGGAUGAAUUCAUAUGGGGUAUCCCCUAGUAGGAGUACAUGAAAUUACAGUUCAUAGAGGUUUUAGGGUAGACAGAGAAGAUUUUUCUUACUAAUUGGGAUGAAACCAUAAAGUUAUAGUGAUGAGCUUAGAUAUCAUGUCGAUACCCACAUGGCUAAAUACACUAUGAAAUUUAUGACUUCUUGAUUAGAGUUCGAGGAUGGAUGUUUGCAUGAUGAGAAAAAGUAAUGUGCCUGGGUAUAAUCGUAGAUGCAAGAGAUUCCUUGAUGAGUUUUAGAACUAAUCUAAGAGCAAGUGAACAAUCAAUAUGAAGGUUCUUAAAGGGAGUUAGAUUAUGGGAUCUUGAAAUUUAGACUAUAAUGGGUAUUUUAGCUAUGGUACCUCUGAGUAGGCUUGGACAGGGUAAGAAAGUGUUAGAAUCAGACUUCAGUACUUGUAUGUGCCCAAGUGAGGGUUGUAUUUUGGAAAUAAUAAAAUGUAAUGUUCAUGAAAAAAAAGAUAGUUUCAAAAGGUGUUGCUAAGAUCUAAUGCUACCAGUAUUAGAGGUGAAAAUACCCGCAUUCCUAUGUCUAAUGAACCCCUAUUUCAUAUUAUGUAACUUCAGAUCGAAUGGCACUUAUGUCCUAGUCUUCAUCAUGUCAUUCAUGCUCUGUAAGCCCUAUUUAGAUAACUAAGAUACCCCUAUAGCUCAUACCUAAACUUAUGUAUUACGUUGUUAUUUUCAUUUCCCGUGAAACUUAUGACCUAUGACAUGCCUAUGUUAAGUCUCGUGCAUUUCAUGACUCAUGACUGUAUGUUUCUUCCAUGGCUUGUUACGAAGCUCCACAUGUUAGGAAAGUUCAUGCCAUUAAGAAAUAGUUUAAGAGAGACUAGACUAUUUUGGUAUUCCCAUGUAAGGUACUCAUCCAAGACCAUCAUUCGAGGAUGAAUGAUCCUAAGGGGGAGAUAUUGUAACACCUUGAAUAUUCAAGCAAAGGAUAAAACAAAUAUGACCGUCUUCAUAUGUACUUGGACCUGAAUCUAGGAAUUUUAUUGGAUCUAGGUGUAAAAGUCAUGUCUUAAGUGUCGUAGAGACAUUGAGUAUGAAUUAAGGGCAAUUUUGUCUUUUCUUUUUUACCUUAUACCAACCGAUUAAAUUUCAUUUAAUUCCUUAGCUUCAGAUGUUAUUUUUAUAAAAAUAACACUUUAUUUCAACAGUUUAAAUUCCCACUUUAUUUCAAUAGUUUCACAUACUGUUUCCAUCAGUUUCUGCAUUACAAAAACCCUCUGUUUUCUCUAUUUUUCACGUUAAAGGUUCCCCUUUAUGUAUCAGUUUCACACACUAUUUCAUCAUCAAAAAAUCUCAAUUCUCCUCUCAAAUAUAACUCUCAAGAAUAUGAGGAAAUUCAUCCAAGAAAACAAGUCUAAUCCCUUUUUCAGGUCUCAAAUUCUUCAAAUAUUUUGAGGUAUGUAGAACCGUUCCUUCUUAUAUGUUUUAAGUUUUAUUAUUUCUCCCUAUUUAAAUUAAUCUCAAGUUAUGUUUAGAGUUGAGUGAAUCUUCAUCUUUAUCAAUUAAGUUAGUUUAUCAAUAUGAUUAUGAAACAAAAAUCUAAAAAAAAACCCAAGCAAAUUUCUGUGAAAAUCUAGAAAAUCACCAUAAUCCAUGAAUACUCUUCAUUUUUUUGAAACCUAUUAAAUCCUAUGAAUUAUUUUCAUAGUUGUAAAUUUUGAGUAUUUGAAACUAUUGGAAUCCAUGAACUUUGUAGUUAUUGGAUUGUUUGUUUUGUAGUCCUUAAUAUAGGAACUUGUUAACGGAUGGAUUGUUUGUUUUGUAGUCCUUAAGAUAAACUCCGCCGAUUUCUUGUAACCAAAGAAUACGACCUUUCUAUUGUUUUUCCAAGAUACCAACUGGAACUCCAAUUGUUAACAUGCAACAUAUGAGUCUCAACUAGACUCAUAACCAUUCCUUAAUUUAUUGAGUACUAUAAAAGCCAUGAUUUGAGAACAUAAUGGAAUGCAUUUUGAAAGCUUGAAUAUGAUAUUUCUUAAUUUUAUGUCCUCACCAAUAAAGGUACGAAUCCAUAAGUUAAUUGUUUCGUCAUAAAGAAAAAAACCAACGGGAGCUAUUUUCAACUUUAAAUAGGAAUUAUGACUUCUUGCAAUAAGGUUUCAAAUUUAUCCAUUAUGCUUGUAAGUUCAAUGAAAAAUCUUUGAUAUGAACCCCUUAAUAUAAUAUAUCCUCAUUUGCCCAGAAAGCUAUAAAAUGAUACCAAAUCAAAAUUUUAUGAACCCAAAGUGGUUGAAUUCCCAACAUGAGCCUAAGAGGCUAAAUUACGUACAUGAGCCUAAAAAGGAUAAACCACUAGCAUGAGAUUAGUAUGGCUAACACUUUGAACAUUAAUAAAUAAGUUAACUUCAUGAGCACAAGGGAGUUGGUUAGCUAACCGUGAAGGCAUAGGUUUAAAUGACAAAUGCCCAAAACUAUGUUUGCCGACAUAGGAUAGAGAUUAUUCCGCAAGUCAGAUGACUCCUUUUACAUGUGCCUGAAAAGGGGCUAACCAUGGAUACUUUCUAGCAAAUUAUGUCGUGUCACAUCUUAUGCCCGGCAAGGUAUAUGAUGUCUUACCUGAUCGGGAUGAGAUCAGACUCCAUGCGCUCACAUGGUGGUUUAUGACGGUUUACUACUUUCUCCCACAAAUAAUCAAAGGAAGUAAAUCUACUUUACUUGGUAAAUUAUAAAUUUAGUUUACAUUCUUGUUCUUUUCCAGUUUCCUUCACUUAUAUUUUAAUUUUAUUGUUACUUCUAAUCCCUUGAUGUACUACCCUCCUGAAAUAGUUUUACAUACCAAUACAUUCCAAGUAUUGAUCGUCUUUGGCACUAUAUCAUUUUAUGAUGUAGGUUCUGGAUCUCAAGUCUGCGGUCAAGUGACUUAUUAAGAUUAUCAUCUUUGCUAUUGGUGAGCCUCUUUUCUACCAGGAGGUUAGACGAGUUAUGAUGCCUUAUUUAUAUUUUAUUUUCUUUUAAUAUUGGUACUUAUUAGAGGCUUCACAGACUAGUUUAGUUGUCACAAAGAUCUUGCCAUUUUUCAUGACUAUUGUAUCAUAAGACGUUAUGUGGUAUUAAAGAAUAUUGAUGAAAGAAUCUCCUUUAAGAAAUAUUAUUUUAUAUUAUUUUCUCUCUAUUCAUUAUGUUAGGUGUAUGCUCAUGUGAUAUGCCAGAACGUUCGCUCAUACUAGCAAUAGUAUCGAGUGCAUGUCACGGCUUGGGCCUAGGCUUGGGGCGUGACAUAGACAUAUAUGUGGAUCAGUACUUUGAGGAUGUACUGAGUAUAUGAGGGUGAAUGCAUAAGUAAAACAUAAUAUCAUCACAAUUUAUAAAGUCAUGCAUGCUAAAUAUAAGUGACUCAUAUAAGCUGGAAUAUCUGAAAUCUGAAAUAAUACGAAGCAAAUCAUGCUUUAUAAACCUAGUGAGUCAUAACAUUUAGUUCUAAAAGCUGUGCUAGUAUUCUAUUUGUAAGUCAUACUGUCUAAGUGUAAAAGGACUCACUCUUAAAUCUGAAAACUAAAGUCUGUAGCUAAUAUCUUUAUGUAAAGAAUAAUCUGAGUAAACUUUGUGAGCCUUUACACUUAGUUUUCUAAAAGCUUCUCUUUACUAAUAGAGAAAUAGUCUAAAACAAAUUUAUGUAAGGUUAUCUUUAAAGCUUUAGGGAAUUAUCUUUUAAAAACCGUACGACAAGGAAAAUACCUUAUCUUUUAUCUGAAGGGAAAAUAUUAUUGAAAGCUUUUCUUUACUAUUAGGACUUAGAGACUUUGGGAGCUUUGGAAAUCUUUCUUUUUUUGAAAAUUUGGGACUUAGGAACUUGGACUUGGGAGUUUCUUCUAACCGACAUAAACCAUGUGAGCUGACAUGGAGUCCAACGUCUUACCAACGUUGGGGAGAGCUGUUCUACCCUUGCCAUCGGAAUAGAACCUUAACUUAAGUGAUCACUAUCUUAGCCCACUAUGGGCAAAUUUAGAAACCUACAGUGGAACGUUGUUCUGGGGCAUGAGACCUUGGAAUCAUACCCAACUUGGUGCUAAAUACUACUCCCAUACUUAUGCUUAGAACUUUAGAAAAUCUACCUUAUAACAACACAAGGUUUUAUAAUGAAAAUCAAUUAUGCUUAUCUUUUCUUUAAAUCACAAAGUGUAUGAAUAGUAUGGAUUCCUAUCUUAGCUUGGGAUCAAAACAUCAACUUUUUUUAAAUCUUGGGAAGAAAUUUGCUAAAGGAAAACUUAAGUUCAUAGCCUUCUUGAAAAACUCAAACUGAUUCUUGAUAUGGAUAUAACAAUUAAACAACUUUCAAGAACAUGAUAUUAAAAUCUCAAUACUUGAUCUUUGGGAUAAAAAAUUCAUGCUUUAAACUCAUGACAAUUCAUAACAACACUUUAUACUCAACAUCAUUCUUGAUAUAUUUUAACAAUAUCAAUCCAUAAAAAGGAAAGUGCAAUUCAUGAUAUAAAUUCUCAAUUCAAAGCAUAAAUAGGUGGGAUAAACAUGCAAAUUCAAGGUUUAAAUCACUUAUAAUCCCAUAGGUGGGAUAAACAUGCAAAUUCAAGGUUAAAAUCACUUAUAAUACCAUAACCUUAAUUAGCAUACAAAAUAGAUUUGGAUCUGCGUCAGUUUUUCAUGUCGAGGCGAAGUCAACGCGACUCGUCAAGAUCGCAUCGGCUAAUUGCUUCACAUGGAAAAUGCCCUAACUUUUUAUUCGAUUUUUGAAUUUUUGAAAAAUUGGUAUCAUUGGAAAGCUAAUUUAUUUAUAUAUAAUUUGGUGGGUCUUGAGAUGAAAAAUUCGACAUAUAUAAACAUUUAUAUACGUUUAAAGUAGACCCUUGUAGAAUCAAAUACCAAAUGUUGAACGAAUCAAAUGAUCUUAGCUCAACUUUGUUCUAAGUCAUUGCUAUGAAAAUUUUCACCUCUAAACCACUUCAUAGACUAUGAUAAUGAUUGUGAAACUUAUAUUCACAUGGAAAUCAAUUGGAUUAGAGCUUAGAUAUGUAGGAACGACAGUUAGAAUUCUAGCACGAAAAUAUUGGGUAUUACAUUAUAUCCCCCUUGAAAAUAUUCAUCCUCAAAUAUGGCUAAUUAAGCUUAAAAAACUGAGGAAUCUAAGGCUAUACGCUAUCACGCAUAACUGAAAUAAACUGAAUCGCUGAAUCUUGAACAUAAUAAGCUACUAAAUUGAUCUACGAGCGUAUGAAUUCUCAUAAAAAUAGCUAUAUGGCUAAGAUAGAAACGAGAGUGUCAACUUAUGAGUAACCAUUACUUUACACUGGAUAUGAUCUCAUGAGGAAAAAAAUGAGAGGUUUAUAACAUGAAAACUCUAGGUAUUACAAUAUGUUUCUGUGGUGUUUUUUUUUAGAAUAAGAGAUUUACUCCUCAUCAGUUCUGUGUUUUGGUCGAAUGUUUUGAUGGUCUAUUAAUAAAAUUCUCAUUUUCUUUAUAUUCCUUUCACUGGUAAGCACUUAAAGAUAUCUAUUUGUCACAGAGGGAACCGAUUGAGAUUUAUUAUUAAUGUAAGGUCCUCCAACAUGUUGCAACAUUUCUAUACUAUAGUAAAUAAAAGUAAUAUCAUAUCUCACACUCUCUUUUAAUGAACAUCACAUUAGAUUAGAAAGAGUCAUAUCCCUUCUACUAGAAUUCUUUCAUGCAUAUGCAUGAUUCCAUGCCAAAGUUACUAGGGUGUGAUAUGUCAUACUCACUGUGAUCUCUAUAUUAAAAGUUCAAAACCAGUUAGACACAGUUACAUGUUAUAAGUUCAUUAAUCUUUUAGCUAAGUUUUCUUUUACGCUUGAGUAUCGAAGUAGUGACUUUGGAAAGCUUUGAAUUUUCUUAACAUUUUUUGUUAUUAAAAUAAUUUAUUUUUAUGAAUGCAUAUUAAUUCACAUAUCUUUUC
rnacentral:lncRNA from 1 species